rnacentral:lncRNA from 1 species
GCUUUUUGAGGGAGCUCAGUUGACUAGGUAAUCUUCCAAUCAACAUAGGACAAUCUCGAAUGACCAUAUGCUUAAGACAAGUGAAUAAAACUCUUACUUCUUCAUUGUUGAAGCAAUGAGACCAGUCCUCCCACGAUGGCAUAUUCUUGAAUUCCAAAGUCAUUAAGGAUGGAAAAGGACUUUUAGUUCCAUAAAAUUCAGACCCUACUAUACGUAUUGUAUAUAGACUUUCGAUGUAAAAUUCUUUCAAAGAAGAUAGUUGUCCUAGCGAGGCUAGAGCUUUGGCCCUACAACACGCAUGUAAACGUAAAUGCACCAUGUUAACAUAUGAGAGAAUUCCUAACCAUGACGGGAAUUCUAAGCCACCAUAGUAAGAUAUUGUGAGAUUUUCAAGUUUUGGGUGAGGGCGAAGAAAGUUGAGGACUUCUGCUUCAAGCUCUUCAUUCCGGAAAUUUCCAAAAUAUUUGCACCAUUGCAUGGUCAACCGGCAUAUUCCCUCCUUCAUGCAUAAAUUGGCAUCUGUGGCAUCUCAAACCUUAUGUAAAUCAGAGAUGCACAAUUCCCCUCUAAGGUUCUCUAGGUUUUUUAACUCCUUCAACCUUGACCCUGCUUUUGUUCCCACUACAAAUUUGGACAGCAUCUCAAGACCCAUCAAAUUACCUAUAUACAGUGGCAUUGCUCUUAGGCUCGGAGUGUUAGUAAAGUCAAGAAAUUUGAGAUUGAUCAUUUUAUUUGGCAAGGUUUUGACAUCCUUGCAACAUCAAGCCCUCUAGGUAGUACAAUGCAACAAUUGACUUUGGAAGCGUUUCAAUAUCAGUAUAUGACAAAUUGAGGCACCUCAAGUGCCUCAGUUUGCCAAUGCAAUCUGGUACCUCUCUGAUGUAAUAGUGACAUAAUGAAAGCACCCUCAAGUACUUCAAUUCCGAUAACAAGUCGCCUAAUACUUUCUUGGACAAAUAAGACUUAUAUAAAUUCCAACGAUCCUUCCCUAACGAUAUGAAACUCCUAAGUCCCUUCAUUCCAUGAUAUAUCUUGAAUCUUUCUACCACAAUGUGAUCAUUGGAAAUGAAUGAGGCAUGACGAGCUAAAUAUGCAUUACUUUGAUCACCCUCAUACUCAAAAUCCCUUGAGCUAAAAUAAGUCGCAUUGGCAACUAGUUUUGCCAAGUCAUUCACAAGAUCAUGCAUCAAGAAUUGUGAUUUGCUGCUACUUGACUUUUGAAGUAACGAUCUAGAUACUAGCUCGUGGAAAAAUUUCAAACCUGCAUUCCAACAAUUAUUUCCUUCUUUUCCCUCCAACAAGCCCUCAUCAAUCCACUAGUGAAUCAACUCGUCCCGCUCAAUAAAAUAAUCCUUAGGAAAUACAGCGCAACAAGUGAAACAUCUCCUCAAAUUUGAAGGGAGAUGGAGGUAGCUAAGUUUCAAGGCUGGAAGGAUGUCAUUACUUUCUUUCGGUAAGUCCCAAAUUUUGCUAUCCAAUAUAGCUUUCCAUUCAUGGGGAUUGACUUUAAAGCUCAAUAACCCAGCCAAAGUCUUCAUGGCUAAUGGCAACCCUUUACAUUUUUCCACUAUUUUCAUACCUAACACUUCAAGAUCUGGAUGACGAUUGAAAUUUCCGACUCCAAAAGCAUGAAAUGCAAACAAAGUCAUACAAGAAUCUUGUGACAACUCUUUGAGAACAUAGGGUCGAGCACGGGCUAUUUCAGCAAUGUGAAAAUUACGAGUCGUGACAAUGACCUUGCUUCCCUUCACUCUUGAUUGAAAAGGCUUCAAGAGGAUAGUCCAUUUUCCAUAAUUCUCAUUCCAAGCAUCAUCUAGAACAACAAGAAACUUCUUCCCCGCAAGUUGUUCCUUGAGCUUACCAUGAAGCCAAUUUAGGUCCUUUCCUUCACAAGGCAAACGGUCAUUCACUGUCUCAAGGAUCUUCUUUGUAAUAGCAAGCACGUCAAAAUCAUCGGAGACGCAAGCCCAUGCUUUCGAAUCAAAAUAGUUGGUAACUCUAGCAUCAUUGUAGACUUGCUGAGCCAAAGCCGUCUUCUCAAUACCCCCCAUUCCUAUGAUGGGAAUCACUUUUAGAUCCGCACAUGUCCUAUCAUCAUCUUCUUCUACGGUUAGCAAUUCGAGGAUCUUCAUUUUUUCAACCUCCCUGCUAACAAAAUAAGGCUCGGGCAAACUUGUAGUGUGAAGUGCCUUAUCCACUUGUUGGUAUGCUGCUCGGUCCCCAUUGUUCUCUCUCAAGCUCAGAGUAUCUUUCUGAGUGAUGAUAUCCUUUAAUCUUCCAUCCAUCUCUUCUAUCUUGGAUCUCAUUUUAUGGCCGAACAUAAGUGCACUCGGGCUCAAUCUGAAGCAACAGCUCGGAAGAAAGGAACUUGCCUUGCUAGUGCCGGGUUCUGCCCUAGACUUAUUUUCCACGGACUCUAAGGCGAACUUGUCAAGCAAGUCUUCAAUGUCAUAGGCCAAAUUCUUGAGAUCUUUAAGCCACGGCUUCACAUCAAGAUCGUUGACGAGUUGCCUGUCCUCUGCAUCAUCCAGCACCUUGUUGAUGCUAAUUAGCAUCUUCUCCCAUUUCUUCAGCAACGUAUCUAUACCCUUGCGCCGUGCAAAGUUGAGAACCUCCCGAGAGGCCAACCUUUCGAAGAGCACCGAAAGAAGAGCGCCAACAAACAGCUCUGCAAUGGGCAUGGCUUGGUUUGUGAGUGGCAGAGGAUUAAACAAGAGUACCUGGAAGGGUCGAAACAAAGGGUAUAGAGUGGACAGGAAACAAAAGUUCUUCCGUCCAGGACAACAGGAUGAAAUGAUGGUGUGAAUCAAAAACUUUUUAAGCACUAAAGCGCUCUUUCUUUCUCGGAAGAAGCUGUCAUUGCAUUUUUUUCAUCUCGUCUUCAGUUGAUUUCAUUUCAUUUCUGUGUACUCAAUUUCUCGAAAGCAAGUUGGUCCGACGUGGGACCAAGUCUUGGUAUCAUUAAAGCCUCCAAAGGCUCAAAACGUAACAGAAGUGGGCCUGUCUCCAGCCCAACCCCGAAACCUUUCUGCUCCAUUAUUGUUCGUCAGUUUCCUCUCACCACUCACAUCACACAAAGUCCCAAAUGCACCCAUUCACCAUCAUCAUGUAUCACAUAGAUCGUGACAUCAUAAUUUCAUCGAUGCAACCUGAUGAACCCCAUCACGUUAUCAAAAAGGACAAGUCAUCACAUAUUUUUACUUUAUGUAGGCCGAAUACCGUCGUAACCAUUGAUCAUACGCAUCUCAACAAUAUUUCAUGUCAUAUGAGAGUUUUAUGAAUUGAAAACUCCAAAAAUUGCCGUUGAUUACUCGACAAUCAUCAAGAAAUACUUGAUAAAAAAAAAUCACGCUUUAAUAAUGACUAGAAAGAAAAAAAAAAAACUGUUACUUUUAUUCAUUACUAUAAUUAUUACCAAGAUUUGCUGAAAGAUACAUUAUGCAUAAGAUUAGGGGAAAAAUUGAGCGGCCCUACAUCAAAUUUAAUUGUGGAACUUCAAAAUUCAUUUUCUUUUUACCUUUUAGCCAAGUAACAAUGAUUAGAUUCUUAAUUAAACUUCCUCAUUUUAUUCAGUCCGCCAGAUCAAAUAAAAUAUACUUAUUAUUUUGUCCCAUGAGCUCCCUAACUUCAAUAUGUCCACAAGGUAGAUUUUGAUAUCGAGCUAUUCAUAGCCUAUUAUUAUAGUAUGUGAAAAUGGAUUCACUAGCGCUUGAUAAAUAGCUAGAUCCCUAGAUUACAACUUUUGAUUCCUUGGCUUCCGCGCUUAUCCUGUCAUAAUCACCCUUUUUUCAAUGCUAUGCGCAUGGGCCUACAUCUAGGAAUGGUGGAGGGGGGUAGAGAGAGAAUGAUGUUUGAUUCCUUCUUCCUCUCCUUCGCACGGACUUCUUGUCGUCUCUGGCCCCAUUAGGGGUGAGCAUGGUCUGGGUUGGGCCGAUCCGUCCCCUAAUCCUAAGACCAAUUUGCACAGUACCGAUCUUCAAUUUUUGGGACCGAGGACUAAUCCUAUUGAGCUCGGGACCGAUGACCAAACUUACCCAAUGGGUUCGGUCCGAUUUCAGGGUCAACUCGAGACCAAGUAAUAAUUUUUUAUAUUUUUUGUACUCCUUAAAAAAGCAAUUGAUGAUCGAACUAACCCAAUGAGUUUGGUCCGAUUUUAGGGUCAACCCAGGACUAACCAAUAAUUUUUUAUUUCACUUUUUGUACUCCUUAAAAAAACGAUUGAGGAUCGAACUGACCUAAUGAGUUCGGUCUGGUUUCAGAGUCAACUCAGAACUAACUAAUAAUUUUUCAUUUCAUUUUUUGUACUCCUUGAAAAAACGAUUGAGAACCAAACUGACUCAAUGAGUUUGGUUCGGUUUCAGGGUCAAUCCAAGAUCAACCAAUAAUUUUUUAUUUUAUUUUUUGUACUCCUUUAAAGGGUAACCGAGGAUUGCACCAACCCAAUGGGUUCGAUGAUGAGCAAGGUUAGCUAAUAAAGGCAAGCGAUAAGGGUCAAAUUGGGUGAAUGUCGAAUAGAAUGAGCAUCGAAUGUCGAACGGGAAGCAACAAGCCAAGCGAGCAUUGAACGGUGAGUGGCAUGAGUCACCCAAAGCAAGCAAGGCGAGUGUCGAUUGACGAGCGGAGAAGUUGUUUCUUUUGAUUUUGACAAACAGAAGACUAAGAGAACAAAUAAGACAGAAGAGAACGAAUACUAAAGGAUGAUGCCAUAAGGAGCUGUUUAUGCCUUUUUUGACGCCAUGAGGAUUUCUCACGAAAAAAUUUUCUUCAUUUGUAAAUUAUGACUAUUAACGCCAUAAAAGACAUUAAAAAUUUAAGUUAUUAAAUAACAACGUAAAAUUACUUGAACUCCUCAUUAAAGAGCUGUUUAAUGUUGUUGAUGCCAUUUAUUUUAAGGUUUUUUCUAUAUAAAAAAAUUAUAAGUAUUAUUAUAUAUACAGGAUUGGUCCUGGUUGAACCGACUCGGAACUCUCAGGACCAAAGACCAACCCGUAUAGUACUAGUCCAGGAAUUCUAGGAUCAAGGACCGACCUAGUCUCCCUGGAAAUCGGACUAGGACCGGCACGGUUGGGCCGGUCCAGGGUCGGUCCAGGGUUGAUCCUGGACCGAUGCUCACCCCCAGGCCCCAUUCCUUGAAUGAGCUAAAUACAAGACGUCAAGAGAUAAUUGUUUAUGGAGAAAUUACAAGGUUCCUAGGGAGAUGCAGUCCUAUUCUAAAUAAUGUGUAUGCUCUUUAAGGUGAAAUGCACCAUCCUACAAUUACCCGUACAAUUAAAAUGUCCAUUUAUUGAAUAAGUCCCUAUUUUUUAAUGCAUAACCACUAUUCUAUCUCGUGAUUUAAUUUUUCGCAAGUAUUUAUACUGGCCGAUGCUAAUAAGUUUUUGACCUAUACUUUUACAAUACGACCAUUCUCCUCUUAUUUUUAGAAUGAUGUCACUAAAAUCUUUUGGAAUCAGAAUUAAUAGGUUGGACAAAUAACAUUAUGGCAUUAAUCGAUGGAAAAAAUUCGAUGUUAUGAUGGAAUUCGAUACCUAAACAAAUGAAAGUAUUGAUUGUGCACAUUAUGAUGGCAAUCAUUGUAUCAUAAUGUGCCCCUAUGGCACUUUUUAACAAACUCCUUUUUUUGUGAAUUGAAUAACUUGAAGGAAUGUUUUAAAGUGUACUGUCACCAGUUAAGUAGGCCUAACUACAAUUUAUCGUGUUGGUGUAAGCGUAGUUUACCACAUUGGUGAUAACUGGUAUGCUCCUUUUUAAUUCUUAAUUUUGCACAUUGCAAUCCAUUGUAUAUACCACUUUUAAGAUAAUUAUGGAAAAAUAACAUUUACAGGUAGAUCGGGGUUAAGAAGUUGAAAUUUGUUCAGUUGAGCUCAUGAAGGCAUUGCUUAUUUAGAGAGAUUUCAGAUACAAAAAUCACUUGUCUAUUGACACGGCUUAUAGAAGUUUAUCUUUUCACUUGCCUUGAUGAUUCUAAUAUUUUAAGGUAUUCUUUUUCAUGCUUGAGUGCUAUGUUUUUCUCAUUUUUGCGGCAUCAUGAGACGGUGGAAUUGAUUGUUUGUGACAGGUGUGCUAUACAAGGAAGCAGCAGGGCCAAGAUUGGCAGCAUCUUCUUAUGUUAACUUUUUUUUAAUAUGAUUUCAAACGAAUGUAAACUCACUCGAACACAAGUUGAAAAUAAGAGCAAAUCCUUUCGAAGGGAUCCACAAUUUAAGCAAACUUAGCUAAACUAUGAACUGGCUGCAUUAUCUUCCUUUCAAUAUUUACAUCUAUACAACAGGACACCGAUACCCUAUUCCAUUGGGGAGAAGCUCGAAGCACCGCUAAACAUGCGAGUCGAAAGACUUUUGCGUCGGUCCAUCCAUCCUCCCUCCUCCUCUUCUUCUUCAGUAUCUUUUGUUCUUUUUCAUCACUCUCUGUCCCUUUGUCUUUUCGUUUGUGGAUCCUCUUGUCGUUUUCUCACUCUUUCUUUCUUUCUCGGAAGAUGCUGCCAUUGCAUUUCAUCUCAACUCAUUUGAUUUCUAAAUUCAUUUCUGUUGCCUCAAUUAAGGCUAGUUGGUCGGACGUGGGGACCAAGUCCUGGCCAUCAUUAAAGCCACCAAAGAAGGUUCGGAAGGGUAAAAGGUGGGCCCGAAACUUCAGCUUUAUUAUCGUUCGUCAGUUCUGUCUCACCAUUCACAUCACACAAAUUCCCUAAUGCACCCACCCACCAUUGUCAUGCAUCACAUAGAUCAUAGGGCAUAAUGGUUUCAUUGAUGCAGCCUCGCUAACCCCAUCUCAUUAUCAAGUAAAGAAGCAGCUGUUACCUAAACUUAAUUUAUGUAAAUCAGAUCAUCAUUAACCAUUGAUCAUAUGCGUUCGAACCAUUAUGCCACGUGACACGAAAGCCCGAUGCAUUGACAACUGCAAAAUUUUUGUAGUUGAUUCUUCAGUGAGUGUCCAAAAACACUAGACAACAAAACCAUUUUUAAUUGAUGACCAGAAAGGAAAAAAAGACUACUUUCUCUUCAAUUAUGUUGUUGUCACCUAGACAUGCCCUCUCAUGAAUACAUAAUCGGAUCAGACUGGAUGGAAAAAAACCAGGUGGCUAUAGAUCGAACUAAAUUGCAAACCUUCAAGCUUCAAUUUGUUUUUUUGCCCCUUUUUGCCAAGCAACUAUAAUUAUAUUCAUAACAAAGGUUCCUUGUUCCAUUUGGCCCAUGGGUAAAAAAAAAAUAUGCUUAUUGUUUUGUCCGAGGAAGAGAGGAACUACCUAACUUCAAUAUGCCCACCAGCCAUUCAAAUAGGUGGAAUUUGUUAUAUACUUACGCAUACCCUAUUAUUAUAUUGUGCAUAAAUGUUACAUAAGCGGUACACAAAUAACCGAAUGCCUAAUUUAUAGAUUUUGCCAUGGCAUUGCAUCAUAAUAAAUUAUCGAUGUGGGGAGCGCACUCUUAAGAUGGGGAGGUGAACUAAUUGAACUAUGUAAAAGUUUGGUUUAGACACCACUUGACUGCUAAAUACAAAAAGAAAAAAAUAUUCGUAACUAGUUCAUGGGUCUCAAGAUCAAAUAAAAUUUGAAAUUUCCAUGCCACAAAUUCAAAUAAGAUAUGAUUAUGUUUCAUUAGGAGAACAAUGAGAGUACCUAGCUACGAUCCAUCCCCCACCUAAUUUUCACUAAACAUGGAAAAAUCCGUAAAACAAUACAAUAAGUUUAAUCAAUUAUGCCCCUAUAAAAACAGGGUGUCAAAAGAUUUUUGUUUAUAGAGAAAUUACAGGUUUUUGUUGAAAUGCAUUUCUAUUCUAGAGAUGGUGCAUUCUCUUUAAGGCAAAGUGCACCCUCUUCACAAUUAGUUGAAAAGGUAAAGUGCAUGCGUUUUGCUCUUAUUCGGGUGAAGCGCACAUUCCUCUAAGGUCAAGUACAUGCUUCCUAGGUAUUUGAAACAGGACAUGUAAGGGUGCGUUUGUUUGUGUUUCUGUUUAAAAAUUGUUCCAGGGAACAGAAAUAGAAAAAAGUGUUUCUGUUCCGGGGAACAAUUUUUGAACAAAAAAACACGUUUGGUAAAUUUGUUCCGGGAAUAAAAAAUAAACAGAAACACGUUUGGUAAAUUUGUAUAAUUUUUUUAUUUCUUUUAUUUUUUAAUAUUUUUAUUCUAUUUUUUCUAUUUUUUUCUAUUUUUUCUAUUUUUUCUUUUUUCUUUUUCUUUUUUUCUUUUUUCUUCUUUUGGCCGGUCGCCGGCCUCGGCCAUGGCCGGUGACCGGCCGACGAGGGCCGGCAGCCUCGCCCAGCCACGGCGAGGCUCGCCGACCCUCGGCGAGGUCGAGCCUCGCCGUAGCUGGGCGAGGCUCAGCCUCGCCGGAUCUGGGCGAGAUCGAGCUCGCCCAGCCCGGUGCGAGGUUGGCCUCACCGAGCCACCGCCAGGUCGGCGUCGCUUGGCGGUGGCCCGGCGAGGCCGAGCCUCGCCGGCCGCUGGGCGAGCUCGGCCUCGCCGGAUCCGGGCAAGAUCGAGCUCGCCCAGCCCGGCGCGAGGUCGACCUCGCCUUGGCUAGGCGAGGCCGAGCCUCNNNNNNNNNNNNNNNNNNNNNNNNNNNNNNNNNNNNNNNNNNNNNNNNNNNNNNNNNNNNNNNNNNNNNNNNNNNNNNNNNNNNNNNNNNNNNNNNNNNNAGGCCCGCAAUGCCAGAGCUUCGUUUGUUGGCCUCCUCUUGUAGUUUUCUCGCUCUUUCUUUCUCGGAAGACGCUGCCGUCGCAUUUCAUCUCGUCUCAUUUGAUUUUUAAUUUCAUUUCUGUUGCCUCAAUUAUCACUCGUCAGAUCUCUCUCACCACUCACAUCACACAAAGUCCCACCCAUCCAUCAUCAUCAUGCAUCACAUAGAUCAUGUGGCAUCAUGAUUUCAUUGAUGCAGCCCGCGAACUCCAUCCCAUUAUCAAAUAAAGGAGCAGUUAUUACCUAAAGUUAAUGUUUGUAGACCGAAUCAUCAUUAAACAUCGAUCAUAUACGUGCCAGCCACCAUUCCAAUGUAGCACGAAAGCCCGACGAAUUGAAAGCCACCGAAUUUUCGUAGUUGAUUGCUUUGCUCAGCGAGUGUCCAAAAACGCUUGAUGGCAAAACCAUUUUUAAAUGACGACCAGAAAGGGGAAAAAACGAUUACUUUCUCUUCAAUUAUGUCAUUGUCACCUAGACAUCUCUUUGAAGAAUACAUAAUCUGAUUAGAUUAGAUGGAAAAAAACCAAGUGGCUAUAGAUCGAAUUAAAUUGGAAGCCUUCAAGCUUCAAUUUCUUUAUUUUUCCCUAUUUGCCAAGCAACAAUGAUUAUAUUCAUAGCAAAGCUUCAUUGUUUUAUUUGGUCCACGGGUCAAAAAUAAUAUGCUUAUUGUUUUGUCCCAGGAAGAGGAGAGCUACCUAACUUCAACUACCUAACUUCAAUAUGCCCACCUACUGACCAAAAUAUAUAUGCCCACCAACCAUUCAAAUAGAUGGAAUUUGAUAUAUACUUAUGCAUGCUCUAUUAUUAAAUGAGAGUGCCCAGAAGGGUCGGAAGAUAAAGCCUUUUGGUUUUUUUUUUUUUUUUUGGGGGGGGGGGGGGGCAAAAAAUGAAAGGGUGAAAUCAAAAAAUUUUAAGCUGUGAGAUGACUUCGUCUGAAGACACUAGUGGUGGUGACUAGUUAGUAAAGUAAAUAUAAAAUGCGGAAAAUCAUAGAUAUAUAUACACAUACUUUUUUAAGGGUGAUCCAUCGGUAUUACUCAAUUGUUUUUUUUUUUUGGUAAAGUUAAUAAAUAUAUAGAGCUAGGACAAAUGUACAAAAGAUCGGUCCCAAAACUUACACUCUCACGAACAAUUGUUUAUAAGUCCACUGUUCUCAUCUCGAUUGAGGUGACCGGCAACCGUCUUUUUUUUAUAUUUUGUUUUCGCCAGAUGACGACUAAUGGCAGCAUGCUACCAAAUUUUCAGCUUUCAAAGGAAUUAAUUGGUGUAUAGCUUAGUUCUCGACUAAGGUUAGAUUACCAAGCAUCAUAAGUGGGUCCGAAUUUGCCACACAUCGAUCCAUGUAUGGGUUAUUAUAUCAUCUUACAUGGUCUAUUAAGGGUCUCUUUGUUUUUACUCCAAAUAAUAUCUAAUUCUGUUAUUUUGUUUCCUGAAACAAAAACAAAAAAAAAACAUAAAUCUGUUUUAUAAAAAUUUUAUUCUCGGGAACAAAAAUUUAUUUUUUUUGUUUCCGAGAAUAGAUUUGGAAGAGAAUUAAGAAGUAUAAAAAAAAGUAACUUCUUGUUUUCGGGAACAAUAUUUAAAAUCAAUUUCUAUUUUUUUCUUUUCUUCUAUUUUCUUUUUUUAUUUUCUCUUCUUCUCUUCCUCUUUCUUCUUCUUCCCUUUGGUCGAUCGCCGACCCUAGAUGAGGGCUAGCAAUCUCACCAGAGCAUCGCUGACCCCCGGCGACGCGAGCCAUGGCGAGGCUCGGCCUCGCUCAGAUCUGACAAGCCUCUGAUGAGCUCGCUAGACCUCGCCCAGUAGGUUGCCGAUCACGGCAGUGGCCGGCCACCGACUACAAAGAAGGAGGAAGAAGAAAAAAAGAAAAUAUAUAUAUAUAUAUAUAUAUAUAACAAACGCAUUAAAAAUUUAAAAGGGACAAAAAAUUAAAAAUUUUACCAAACACAUUUCUAUAUCGAGAAUAGAAAUUUUAGACAGUUACCAGGCGCGUUCUUUUGCUUAGAAAUUGGUCCUAGCAACAGAAUCAGAAAAAAUCAUUUCUGAUUAAAAAUUAUUUAUCGAAGCAGAAUGAUUACCAAAUGCACCCUAAAUGCAUUUUAUAUUUUCUCCCAUAGCCCAAAGCGAUCUCCUCUUUCUUCCUUGGAUCUUUGUUUAAGGUUCUAAAAUAAUUGGAUUGCUGGUACUGGAUUUCGGCCGUUGAUAAUAAAAUAUUCCAACAAAAAGUUGAAGUGUUUCUUUCUUCAUUCCUCCACGCUCCCCUUCCUUCAUCCUUUUCUGCACUCAAAUCUGUUUUGCUCUUUCUUCUCCUCGGCACAACCAUUCUUCCUUCUCUCCUUCUUCAGUAUUCGUCGUUCUUUAUCAUCAUUCUCCCACGCGUCUCUUUGCUUUUUCGUUGCCCUUUCGUGGAAGAAACCGCCGUUGCAUUUUAUCUCAUAUCAUCAGAUUUAAUUUCAUUUUUUUUAUUUAAUUUCCCGAAAACCAUUUGGUCAGAAAUGGGAACCAAGUCUUGGCAUCAUUAAAGCCACUCAACGCUCAGAAGGCAAAGAAGUUGGCCCGAAUUCCAAGACUUCUUCUUUAUAAUUGUUCAUCAGCUUCUCUCACCACUUACAUCACAUGAUUCCCAAAUGCACCCAUCCACCGUAAUCAUGCAUCACAUAGAUCAUAUGGCAUCAUGAUUUUAUUGAUGCAGCCUCGUGUCGCUUUAUCAUAAAGAGGGAGUUACUACGUAAAUUUUAGUUUAUGUAGAGCAAAUACGGUCAUGACAUUGAUCAUAUGGAUCUCAACAUUAUUCAACGUAGUAUAAGAGCUCAAUGCAUUCAAAGCUCCAAACAUUAUUCAAUUGAUUACUCAACAAAUGUCCAGAAACACUUGAUAAAAAAAUCAUUUUUGACAAUGGCUAGAAAGAAAAAACUGUUGCUUUUCUUAAUUACUAUGGUUGCUACUUAGCUUCGUUCUCUGAAAAGUACAUUACACAUCAGAUUAGCAGCCAAAUACUGAGGGGCCAUAGAUCGAAUUAUAUUGCAAACUUUCAAGCACCAGUUUCUUUUUCCCUUUUAUAAUGAUUAUAUUCAUAAUGAAGUUUCCUCGUUUUAUUGAGUCCGUGGCUCAUAUUAAAAUAUGCUUACUGUUUUGCCAACCUAACUACAAUUUGUCCACGAGGUAAAUAUUUCAUCCAAAGAUGGACAAAUUGAUAAGUUUAAUUAAUUACAAGGUUUAAGCGGUGGUUCAAGAAGUGGGUUAGCCUGAGGACGCUGUUUAAGGGGGGUUAAGAAAUGGGAGCGGACCUUACGUGGAGUUGCAGAAGUUAUUCUCUAUCUACCCUCUUCACCAUGUGCGGUUGUAGGCCUCGUGUGCUAAGCAUCGAAAGAAGGGGUGGUGAUUAUGGCAGGACAUGCGCGAAAGCCAAGGAAUCAAACUUUGAUAAUUCAUGUAUUAUUUUCUUAUUUUCAUUUCUCUUUUUGAGCAAAUAAUUUAUUUAUUAAACGCCAUUCUCUCUCUACCCCCUUCACCAUUCCCAGAUGCAGGCCCCAUGUGCAAAGCAUAGAAAGAAGGGCGACUGUAUGGCAGGACAUGCGCAGAAGCCAAGGAACCCAACUUUUAUAAUUCAUAUCUUACUUCCUAUUUUCAUUGCUGUUUUGUACAAAUAACUUAUUUAAGCCACGAAAUCCAACUUUUAUAAUUUAUAUCUUACUUCCUAUUUUCAUUGCUCUUUUGUACAAAUAACUUCUUUAAGCCAAGGAAUCCAACUUUUAUAAUUUAUAUCUUACUCCCUGUUUUCAUUGCUCUUUUAUACAAAUAAUUUCUCUCUCUCUCCCUCCCUCCAUGUAUAUUACUUUUCGAUUUUCUUUGCUAAAUAAAAUUUUUGUUUAUAUGUUGUUGUUCUUUCGAUGUUUGAUCCCUUCUUCCACUCCUUCGCACGGUACUUUCUGUUGUCUGGCCUCCGUUUCUUGGUGCUGAGAGAUACUUCUUCAUAGGGAAGUUCUAAGGUUGUUUUUGAGAUGCAAUCCUACCCUGAACAAUGCGCAUGCUCUUUAGGGUGAAGUGCACUCUCCCCACAAUAAAUCGGUCACUUUUUAAAAGGAAGUGCAUGCUUCUCGUGCUAAUAUACCCUCUCAUUCAUAGGGAAAAAUUACCAAAAAAUUUUAAACUUAUUAUAAUUGUGUAAUCUCAAUCCUAAGUAUUUUAACUUGGCCAAGAAACAGGUUUACGACUAGUGCUCAAUCCAUGUUUAUCCUUCAGCGGCGGUGGAAAGAUCUGAGACUUAGACAUUGAUGGUGGUGACUAGACACACUUUUUUUAUGGAUCACAUUUGCUAUUACUUGCUAUAACUCGAUUGUUUAUGAGUCCACUAUACUUGUCUUGGCGGCGGGCUUUUUUGUUAUUUAGCCAUGGCCGGUGACGACUUGGAGCAAUCUGCUAUCAAGCUUUCAGCUUCCCAAGUAAUUGACUGUUUUUAAGUUAAGGUCUUAACUAAAAUUAAGCUACAGUGCUCCAUAGUCCAUCCCCGUCUCCUCUUUCCAUCCUCAUCAUUUGGGUCUCUAUUUACUAAAUCUCGGCCUAUGAUAAUUAAAAAUUCCAGAAAAAAAGUUGCUGUGUUUUUUUCUCCGCCGAUUGCUCUUUCACGCUCCCCUUCCUUCGUUCUUGUUUGCACUCGAAUCUCUACACCUUCUUAAUCUCUCAUCGUUGAUUUCAUUUGAUUUAAUUCAAUGGGAACAAGUUGGUCAAUAAUGGCAUCCUGGUCUUGGCAUUAUUAAAGCGGCCGAAAGGCUGGAAUCAGACAAAAGGCCGCUCUCUCAAUUUCUUUCCCACUCAUUUUUUGUACCCACCUAUCAUCAUCAUGCAUCGCAUAGACAUAUUGGCAUUAUCGUCUCAUUGACGCAGUCUCGUACAUCGGUCAUAUAAGUCCCAACCAUUAUUCCACAUCACAUGAGAACUCAAUGCAUUGGACCUGAGCAGGUCCUUAAACUGCUCCCCCUGAAAUGACCACUCCGGGGGGACUCCUCCUCACAACCCAAUUACAGGGAAAUGAGGGGUGAGUAGUAUGGGGUAACGGUCCCAUUGGCUAUCCCGGCCAAACCCGAAAGGGUUAGGGACCCACCUCGGAUCCCCGUGAAACCCUUCUCCUAGCAUACUAGGUUGGGUUCAGGGAAAUGAAGAGGCCUGGGUUGCCCCCCGCGUGAGUGGGCAACCCAGGGUGGCCGGACGCAGUCUUGUACAUCGGUCAUAUAAGUCCCAACCAUUAUUCCACAUCACAUGAGAACUCAAUGCAUUAAAAGCUGUAUAAUAUACUUGGUUAGUUGGUCACCAAGUGUCAAGAAAAAAAUUGUUACUUUCUCUUCAUUUCUGUCAUUGUUACCUAGCUUUGCUUUUUGAAAGUUAUGUUAUGCAUUAGAUUAGUGACAAAAAAUUGAGUGGUCCGGGAUUGAGAUAAAAUUAAAUUGGCCCACGGACCAAAUAAAAUAAGAAAGCUUCAUUAUGGGUAUAAUCAUUAUAAAAGGGGAAAAAUAUGCUUAUUGUUUUGUCAACCUAACUACAAUUCGUCCAACGGAUAGAUAUUUUAUCCAAAGAUGGCCAAAUUGAUAAAUUAAAUUAAUUAUAAGGUUUAAGGGGGUGGUUCAAGAAGGGAGUCAGCACGAGGAUGGGGUUCAAGGGGCGGUUCAAGAAAAGGGGGCCAGACGACAACGAGAAUUAUUGAGCAAAGAAGAGGAAGAAAAAAUCAAACGUCAUUCUCUCUCUACGCUCUUCAUUAUUGCCGGAUGGAGGCCCCAUGUGCAAAGCAUCGAAAGAAGGGUAAUCAUGGCGGGUAAUUAUGGCAGGACAUACACGUGAUUCAGGCCCCAUGUGCAAAGCAUCGAAAAGAGGGUAAUUAUGGCAGGACAUACGCGUGAGUCAAGGAAUCUCUUCAUUUUUGCCGGAUGCAGGCCCCAUGUGCAAUUAUAGUUCUUAUGUUAUUGUUGUUCUUUCCAUGCUUUGCACAUGGACCUGCACCUAGGAAUGGUGGAGAAGGUGUAGAGAGGACGUUUGAUUCCUUCUUCCUCUCCUUCGCACAGUACUUCUUGUCGUCGUCUGGCCCCAUACCUUGAACCAGCUAAGCACAGGACGUCCAGAGAUAAUUGUUUAUGAAGAAAUGACAAGGUUCCUAUCGAGAUGUAGUCCUAUUCUAAAUAAUGUGCAUGCUCUUUAGGGUGAAGUGCCCCCUUCCUCACAAUAAAUUACUCACUCUCUUACGGUGAUUUGCACGAUCUUGUUCACAUCAAGUGCAUAAUCCUUAAAGGCCAAACUGCAUCUCCUUUUUAGAGUUGAGUGAACACUUAUUAUAAUCAAGAAUGAACUCCUUCUAGCAUCUAAAUUAGAAAUGUGCCUCUUUUGAUGAGGAGCAUGCCCCUUAAGUGAGUUGAUAGUGACGAGACACUCAUAAUGUUCCUAUUGUUCUACCAAUUUAAUUUCGAAAUUGUCUAGAAAGUUAGUGUUCGCUUUCUAUUGUUAUAGGAACUUGUUAAUCUAAACUAGAUCUUGUCCAAUACAAUUAUUUGUGAAAUAGAGAUGAGCUUUUUCUAUUAUUUUAACCAUUGUUCAAAUUUCAGUGUAAGUUCCCACCUAAAAAAUCCCAAGCUAGAACAAUUGACCCUUUUGUGCCUUGACUCAAAAUUGAAGCAAUGGUCAUCUAUCUAGUGGUCGCAACUUUAGCCUUUGAUGCUCUGUGCAGCCCUUGAUCUAUACUCUGCUUUAACUCUAGGGAAGGCCAUGAUUAAGAGUAAUCCCAUCCUCUUGUUUCCAACAAAUGGUCUCUUCUUGUACGGCUCUUUAGAUGAUAAAUGAAUGAUAAUGCUCUCCAGCAAAAUAUUAAAAAGUAUAGUUUGAUUGAUUGAUUAAAUUGGAAUACUAUGCAUGUGUCAAACUUUUCUUAAUAUGCCACAUAACAUUCAUUUGUUUGAAGGUCCAUUUGUAAUAUGUUAUAUCACUCGGUGUAUCAAUCUAAUUGACUGCUCCAAAAAUCAUCUAGCUUUAUCAUCUCUACAAAUGGAGAGCCCUACCUAUUAUCAGUGAUAAAAGUUCGACAAAUCGGCUCAUUGUUCUCACUACUUUGAUUAUCUACUCCCCUAUUUUUUCCAUAGCUUAAGUAGUUUAGACUCAAGCGUAUCCAUUGCAUUAACAAUAUGGUAUAGUGCAUAACAAGGUCAAUCAUCCUUCAAACACAAAAUUGAACAUGAGAAAAUAUAUAGGAUCUUCACGUUAAUCAAAUUCUUAUUUUUAAUCAAACAUAAGUUAAUUAAGACGAUCAAAUUCACUCAUAGUAGUCAAGUCGUUUACGUAGGGAGUUCGAAAAGGCUAAUUGAUAAUGAGAACAUGAUUAAAAUGCCACCAUUUUUUCAAAGUUCCAAUAUCAAAUGUUAGGAAUUUGAAGUUUUUAUCAUUUCUUGAACUUAUUGUACUUAAUAGGGUACGAUUGAUUGUGAUUCCCAGUAAGGAUCCUAAUAUUUUAUGGUGUUCAUUAUUGUGCUUGAGUGCUACGUUUUUCCCAUUGUUGCAGCAUUAUGAGAUGGUGGAAUUGAUUGUCUAUGACAGGUGUGCUAUAUGAGGAAGCAGCAGGGCCAAGACUAGCAGUAUCAUCUUAUGUUAGCUUUCUUUAAUGUGAUUUCAAACGAAUGUAAACCCACUCGAACACAAGUUGAAAACAUGAGCAAAUCUUUUUCAAAGGGAUUCACAUUUAAAGCAAAUUUAGCUAAACUAUGAACUGGCUACAUUACCUUCCUUCUGUUUUUUACACCUAUACAGCAGAACAGUGAUACCCUACCCCGUCGGGGAGAAGCUCUAAGCACCACUAAACACGCGUCGAAAGACUUUUGCAUCGGCCCAACCAUCUUCCCUCCUCCUCUUCUUCCUCUUCAGUAUCUGUUGUUCUUUUUCAUCACUCUCUGUCUCUGCCUUUUCGUUUGUUGGCUUUCUCCUAUCGUUUUCUUGGUCUUUCUUUCUCAGAAGACGCUACCGUUGCAUUUCAUCUCGUCUCAUUUGAUAUUUAAUUUCAUUUCAGAUGCCUCAAUUUCUCGGAAGCAAGUUGGUCAGACGUGGAACCACCAAGUCUUGGCCAUCAUUAAAGCCACCAAAGAAGGCUCGGAAGGUAAAGAAGUGGGACCGAAACUUCUGCUUUAUCAUCGUUCGUCAAUUCUCUCUCACCACUCGCAUCACACAAAGUCCCAAAUGCACCCAUCCACCAUCGUCAUGCAUCACACAGUUUCAUUGAUGCAGCCUCCCGAACCCCAUCCCGUUAUCAAAUAAAUGAGUAAUUACUACCUAAACUUAAUGUAUGUAAACUGGAUCAUCAUUAAUCAUCAAUCAUAUGCAUCCCAGCCACUAUUCCACGUAACACGAAAGCCCAAUACAUUGAAAUCUCUCAAAUUUUCGUAGUUGACUGCUGAACAAGUGUCUAAAAACACUUGACAGCAAAACCAUUUUUAAACGGUGGCCAGAAAGAAGAAAAAAGGUUAUAUUCUCUUAAAUUCUGUAGUUGUCACCUAGAUAUGCUCUCUCGGGAAUACACAAUCGGACUAGAUUGGAUGGAAAAUAAACCAGGUGGCUAUAGAUCGAACUAAAUUGCAAACCUUAAAGCUUCAAUUUGUUUUUUUUUCCCCUUUUUGCCAAGCAACAAUGAUUAUAUUCAUAACAAAGGUUCCUUGUUUUAUUUGGUCCAUGGGUCAAAUAUAUAUAUAUAUAUAUAUAUAUAUAUAUAUAUAUAUAUAUAUAUAUAUAUGCUUAUUGUUUUGUCUCAAGAAGAGGAGCUACCUAGCUUCAAUAUGCUUGCCAGCCAUUCAAAUAGGUGGAAUUUGAUAUAUACUUAGUUCCUGCCCUAUUAUUAUUAGUGUGCAUAAAUGUUACAUUAGUAGUACAAAAAUAACCGGAUCCCUAAAUUCCAAAUUUUACUAUGGCAUCACAUCAUAACAAAUGAUCAAUGAUGGCUUGGGAAGGUGGACUAAUUGAAGCGUGUGAAAGUUGGUUUAGGGCACGUUUAGUAACGAUUCUGUUCCCGGGAGCUGAUUCUGACUAAAAAUAAUUAUUUUUUAUUCUGUUCCGGGGAACUGAUUCUGAGUAAAAAAACGCGUUUGGUAACUGUCCAAAUUUUUUGAUUCUGGAAUAAAAUUGCGUUUGAUAUCGUGCUAAUUGAUUAUGUUCCAAAUUAAUUUCUUUUGAUUUUUAAAAAAAUUUUAAAUAAUUUUUUUUUUACUUUUUUACUUUUUUUCUUUUCUUUUUUUCCCUUUUUUCCUAUUCUUCUUCUUCUUCAUGUGGCCGGUCGCCCAACGAGGGCCGGCAACGCUCACCGGAGGGUUGCCGGCCCUCGGCAAGGUCGGCCUUUGUCGACCGAGCCUCGCUGGUAGCUGGGCGAGCCUCGCCGGUGGCCAAGCGAGCCUCGCCGGCAGCUGGGCGAGGCUCACCCAGCCACCAGCAAGGCCGAGGGCUGGGCUUGCCUCCGGCAACCAACGGCAGACGGCGGCGUCGGGCAAUGGCGGGCGGCAGCGGAUGGUGGCGGGCGGUGGCGAACGGCAAUCGCGAGAUGACGGAACAGAAGAAUGAGAGUUUCACUAUUUUAAUUCUUUUUUUGAUUCUCAAACGAAGAAUCAUAUUUUUUAUUUUUUAUUCUCAAUUCUCUUCCCAAUCUGUUUCCGGAAACAAAAAUUUUACCUAACGCGAUUCUCGUCCCAAACUAGCUGUUGACACCUAAAUUUUGGUGACUCGGUCAUUUACUUAUUACAUAAGAAUCACGGAUUAAUUUUUUUUAAUUUAAAUUUGCAUAACAUAUAGUUUUAGGAGCAUCUCUUUUAUUACAUUUGGAAUUGAUUGGCCACAGGGGAUUGAAAGUCACGAGGGAGCUUCUAAUAGUAGGCCCAUGAUCUUUGCAUGAUCAAGAACAAAGGUGGCUGGGCACCGUUCCACUACGCGGCCAUCAAGUGUAGGAUCAAGGGGAGAACGAUCAGUCCGAGGCGUUCAAGAAGUUGCUGAAGAUGGAGAGACGCAGAUGACCUUGUACGAUGACGAUGGGAACACAAUCUCACAGCUGGCCGCGGCUUCGAAACAUCUCCAGUCCACUAGACGGCAAAACCGGGUCAAUCUCAUUGAAAGGUUAUGAUGAUCGCACCCUUUUAAUGCUAGAAUUUUAAUUCUGUUAAGAGAAAGUUUUGACCCAUUGCCCCGUGCAAAAAUUCUUUCAAUCUUGUGUGGGCACGCAACUUUCAGUAAUUAAGGAAACGAAGGAUGCGGUGGAGACGUCUUUGAGGAAACGAAAGCUGGUAGAGAAUAGGAAAGAAAAGGGAUACGGGCGAGAAAGUUGAAAGAAUCAAUAUAGUGGUCUUUAUGCUACAUUAUUUCUUGUUUUAAAACAAGAAAGAAUGCACCAUCAAAGAAAUCGCACGCACCCAUGAGGAAAACGAAUUCUCUGCAUCAACUCAAGAACAAAGAAAGAAAUAACGUCGGAUAUACCCAUGGAUCUAUUCACGGCAAGAAAGGGGAGAAAUCGACAAAACUUGCAAGCUGAUAUUCAAUUUGAAGAAAUAAAAUCAAAAAGGGAAUAUUCAGCACGUAUUCAAUCGACUUGGAGCUGCCAUAUUAUAAAUAGAGCAGUAAAUUGAGAGAGAUGGGGAACUUUCGAAUUUCAAAGACACACGAGAGAGAGAGUAGAGCAUACGCGAGGAAUCUUGACCAGUUCUUGGCUGAGACGCUCCUUCCAUGCAUCCGCCCCUUCCACGGCCAGACUUGGGGUCGUAUUUCUGUCUCCAUCACCGCCACAUCGUGCUGCUGCCCUGGUGAGGUGUCGACGACGGCCAAGCUGCUCCCUGCAUACGUGCCACCCGAGAAGUCAACCGAGUCCGGGCUAUUGCACCCAACCGCGUUUCUGCUUUGGUUCGUUGUUGCUACGCACUGGCGCCAUUGCUCCCUGGCUCGCUGGCGUUGAUCCUCCAAUGAUGAACGCUGCCUGAUGCUACCCCUCUGCGAAGGGAUCGCUGCCUCAUCGAGUCGGCAAUCUUAUUGUGUUUUUAUUUUGCAGCAAUUCUCCCUUUUGCCGUUCUAGUUUUCUUGUGGCUGCCCCCCCUGCUGUGCUGGUCAUCCUCGUUGACUUUGCCAAGCCGAAUUAGCGAAGCAUCAGCCACCACUUACUGAGCGAGACACCAUCCUUGAGCAGCACGUCAUCUUGAGCCGCCGCCCGUGAGUCAUCCCGUCGUCCUUGUGCUAUCACGUUGAGCCUCUACCGUGAUCCACGAGUCGCUGUUCGAAGGCCACAUUUGGAAGCAAAUAUUUGGGAUAGGUAAGAAUUUUGUCUAUGUUAAUUCCUGAAAAUUUUGUUUCCUUAUUUGAUAUACUCAUUGGUGCACGUGAUGGAAAUUCCCAAUAUGCCAUGAUAUUCGCAACACGAUUAGCCUUUUAAAUUGGGAAAUCUUCCUAAUUUCACAACGUACAUAUGAUUGACGGUCCGAUUUCACGCUCGAAAUACGACCCGCAAUCGUACGGAAAAAUCACCAAUCCGAUCUCACGCUCGAGAUAUGAUUUGUGAUUUUAUUUAAAAUUUGGCCAAUCCGAUCUCAUGCGCGAGAUAUGAUUCGUCAAUUUAGUUCCCAAAAUUAAAUGGACGUGGAUGAUGUCUUGCUUGAUUUGGUGCCGUGUUGUUCUUGAUGCUUUAUUUGUUUGCUCCCGUAAAAGAAAAAAUAUUUGAGUUAGAUUAGAUGCAUGUUAGGAUGUUACUUGUUUUAGAUUAUUUUGCAUGUCUAGAAUAGGAAAUUUAUUUAUUUCGAAUUUUUGAAAAAAUGAAAAAAUACAAAAAAUUAGGAUGUUAGAUUUCUGCUUCACUAGUCUAAAUUGCAUGUUUAAUUAUUUGGCAAUUGUUAAUUUCGAAAUUUAAAAAAAAAAAAAAGAGAAAAAGGAAAAACACAAAAAAGGUCAUGUGCAUGUCAUGUAGAAUUAGUUUCAUACAAUGCACGUCAUUUAGUGAUUUUUGUUAGAUGCAUUUAAUUAGAAAUUGCCCGUCAUUAGAAUUAGGUCAUUAGAUUAAUUUAGAUUGCAUAUUUAAGUGUUGCAUUUCUUUAAUUUUGAAUCUCAUAGAAAAUACAUAAAAGUUAUUUAGAAUAAAUCAUCUCAUGCUUAGGAUAGACUACAUGCUUAGUUAUGUCAUAUUGCUUAGGUCAUAUAGCUAAGUCAUAUUGCCAUGUCAUAUCAUCUUAGAUUAGUAGCAUGCAUUGCAUGAUUAUCAUUAAAUAAGUGAAAACAAAAAGAGAAAUUGCGUGUUAAUUAGAAAUCAUAUUUAGGAUUGUUGAUGUGAAUUCUAAACUAACAACGCAGAUGCUUUCGUUGCUACGAGGUAAGUCCUGCAAUUUAUUCAUUGCUUUCUCGGAUGUUAAAUUGGUGGUUUGCGCACCCGCAUGAUCGCCUCACAUGUUAGGGAAAUAAUUUUAAAAUCAAUUCAAGCUGCUUGCCAAACAUUUUUCGAAAUAAAAGAGAAAGGUACCGAAAGGGCGUUAGAGAAAUCUAACGUAACCAAGUCCCCGAAUUCAUAAAUCUCUGGUUCGUAGGAGUAAAGUAAAUCUCCCGUUACUUUGCUUGGGUUUCUAAUCGACCCACCAAAAUAGAUUAGUGGCGACUCCUAAUUGAAAAUCAAUUGCAUGCUAAAAACUUGAACCUAAGUCGCGAAUUGGUAUGGGCUUGGGAGAGCCCGAGUUAAGUCUAGGCUUAACAAUCCAUUAGCCAAACCCUAGGUGGUUCACACCCCGAAAAAUUUGGGUCGCGACACUAAUUCUGGGAAUAAAAAAGCAGAAUCAGGCACUGUUUGGCAUGUUGCCAAACGGACCCUUAGACACCACUUCAUCACUAAAUACAAAAAGAAAAAAAAAACAUACAAAGAUUUAGAGCUACAUUAGUAAAAUUUAAAAAAAAAAAUGGGAUUACAUUGGAAUUCAUACAAUAAAUCUCUCUAAAUAUGGAAUGAUGAUUUAUUGUUUGAAAAGUUUUGGCAUCAAAAUGGAUGUCAUACAAUAAUUAUGAAAAUGAUAUCAUUCUUAUGCCCUUUUUUUUUAUGAGGUUUUGCAAAUUUAGGAUCAUCUUAUCUUUUCCCAUCUCACAUGUCCAUUAUUUGUUUUAUUCAAACACGAAUAAGGUCCAUAGUCCACUAUAUGUCCGUAGAGGACAAUAAUGUCUACUUCUUCUUUUGCCUUUUUUUCCCCGAAGUAACACUAACAUCGCGAAUCAUUUACAGUCGAAAAUGUAGCACGUUUCAAAUAAACAUGCCACGUUUGAUUGGAUGAACUUUUGUGAACUUGGGACCAUCUUCAUCUUGUCACUUCUUGUAGGUCCAUACAUUAUUUUAUUCGGACAUAAAGUAGCAAAAGUCUUUAUAAUAAGGUCCACCCUCCACUACAAGUCCCUAGCAGAAAACGUGGCGCAUUUUAAAAGGACAUGCCACAUUUGAUUGGAUGGAGUUUUGUGAACUUGGGACCAUCUUCAUCUUAUCACUUUUUGUGGAUCCAUAAGUUAUUUAAUUCAUAUACGAAGUAGCAAAAGUCUCCAUGGUCUCCAUGACAAGGUCCACCUUCCACUACAAGUCCUUAGAGGACAAUAAUUGUUUUCUUUUCCCUUGGCUUUUUCCAAAAGUGACUUUAAUGUCACUGUUGGCCAUGAAACGAUUGAUUUGAUAAGAAAAGUUAACUACAACCGCACCUUUUUUUCAAUCAAAAUAACCAAAGCCUCUCUUUUAAAGGAAUUACCCUUAGGGGUCUUGUUAAUCAAUCAAUUAAAGUUUUAUUAUAUUGAUUUUUCUCCAAAACAUGUAGGAACAAUUUUUUGGAAAUGGAUAUUUCAUUAUUAAGUAAAUUGGACAUAUACAUGGACCUACUAAUUGUCCUCCCUUUUGAAAUAACUGGAAUUUGUUCUUUGCCGUCAUGCAAGUUGGAUUGAAAUUUACACGGCAACACUUAUAUUUUGUUUUUUGGAAUUUGUUUAUCUUGAUUUUUGUUGUGAAAGAAAAAAUAAAUAACAACAUUAAAUCAAGAAACAUAAAAGUAAAUAUAAUCUCGUAGUUCAGUCAAUUGGAAAUCAGAUUUUCGUAGUUCAGUCAAUAUAAUCUCGUCCACGGGGAGAGCAACAUAAGAUUUCACAAUUGAUCAAGAGAUAUUAUGGAAUCACUCAAAUACUUUCAAGUUUUCUUAGCCACCAUUUAUACUCAAUAAUUCACACAAAUAUGUAGCUUGUACAAUUCCUUAUGAAACAAUCUUUAAAUCUCAUAAAGGAAUCAUGUGUCUCACGGGAUUUACAUAGCUAUUAAACACUUAGUGAUUAGUUGUCUCUGAAUAUAAUUAACAAACUUAUGCGCAACCUUGCAUGUUGAAGUUGAAGUUGGAGUAUUCACUGAACUUGUAUGAAAAAGAACUCUACAAACAGUAUUCUCCUCUAAUUAGGGGGGAAAAAGCCUUCCUUGGAAGGGGAAAAUAUGGUGGUUGCAAAUGAAGUUCAAGUAUUCGCUACUUACUCGUAGAUGAUGACAUGGGCUACUCUAAAGGAGCCCAAAGAAAGACAUGGCAUUUGGCAAUAAUGCAAUUAGGUAGUUCUAAUUUCAUUUUGGCGUGACAUUUCCCUUGUUGUUCAAUUUGGGACGAUGCUUUUGCAAUUCUAAUGAAUAGGUCGUCUCCUAUCAUUCCCCGCUCACACCAUUAGCAUGGAAUAGGGAUUGGCCUGCUUUAUGACCUCAAGGCCGUGAGGCUUGCUAGUCGGGCCUGCCUCCUCAAAACAUAGUACCAACCGGUCAACAUUCAAACCGGAUCCUUUAUCACUCAAGUUUUAAGUAACUUUCUAAUGUGCUGGAGUAGGAUGAGCUAUGGGUACUUCCUUAUCAUUAUUAUGCUUCAUCAAAUAUUUCAUGGUGACAUAAAUUUAUUCAAUAUGAAUGAACACAUAUAAUGAAUUGGAGCGAUCAACAUGGGUCAGACUCUCCUAAAAGAUUUUAGGUUGUGAAAUUUUUAGGGUGGGUUUCAACUUACUUUAAGUUCUUUUCUAUUUCAUGCGAUUUUUGAGGGUGAUUUCAACUUACAUCUUUAAGGAAAAUGAAAAUUUUAAUUGAACUUAAGAACUAAAAAGCUUUAGGAAACUAAUGCUUGCCAUGUGAUGACUUCAAAUGUAUAGGAAUGGUACACUUCACAAUGGCAAAUAAGGAAUCACAGCCUAAAAAGUGUGACAAAAUAUUUCAUAAAUUUUAGUUUCUAUGGUUAAAUAUAAGAAAAUUCAAUGAAACUUAACAGAAAAUAAUAUUUAUUCAAGUAAAAUCGUAUAAUGUAAUGAGUAAUAUACAUUUUUUAUUUGGGAUAAUUGUCUAAAAAAUGUUAAAUUAUUGCGCAACGGCCAAUUCAGUUCUAAUUUUUUUUAACAAUUUGUCAAUUUAGUCAUUAACUUUUUAGGAAUUUAAUAAUGUAGUCCUUCCAAUUAAUUUUAACCGAAAAUUGCCAAUGUGGCGGUCAUACCACAUAAGAUGGCCAACAUCCACGUCAAAGAUUUUUCUAUCAAAGUUGGUCAUUCCUAGUUUAGGCACUAGAAUAUGAUAUUGAUCCGGGCCUGCCGCCGCUGCCACCGCAACUUGCAGAGGUCUCGUAUGGGCUUACGAGAAUGACGAGCUUGUUGAAUGGUUUGCUGUCGUCUAUGGUGCAUCAGCGAAUGGAAUGAAGAAGUUGUAGAAGGGAGGAGGAUUACGACGAAAAACUGCAGAAUUGGAGAGAAGAAUUUUUCUUAUGAAGGUUGGGCAACUUAGGACAGGGAGAGGUUGAAAUUAUGGUUUUCGUCAUCUCUUCGAGUUUAGAGAAAGCAUAAAAAGCUAUAUAAAUUAUAAAGGUCAUUGGAGAAAGCUACUUCUCUCAUGCAGACUUGACCGUGGAAGUCGAAGAAUUAAAUCCUUGUGUUAAUGGGAUUUUAUUGAGCAUGCAUUAUAAGCGAAAUAUGUAUCUAUAGGCCUGUAAAGUCUAAGAUACCUUAGUUUAUCAUAUCAGUUAAAUAAUUAGUGGUGAAAGGGACUAGUACAUUUUUCUAAUUCCGUAACUCGUGUACAUCACUCCGUUUUGGGUCAAUACUACGAAAAACCUCAAACCAGCUCACUUAUAACAAAUUGAGCACAAACUAAUUGAAGAUUUUUGUAAUACUAUUCCUUCAAUUUUUUAUGGUCUUAAUUUUAGAUUUGUCAUUAUUAUUCAAUCCCAUUUGUCCCUGCAUGAACUCCAUGCGGUUAAAUUGUACCGAGAUAAUUUUCUUGUUAGCUUAUUCUAGAAAGUUUAUGACAUUCUUUGACCCAGAGGACUUUGAAAUUGUAAUUAAUAAGUCAGACACGUUACGUCGGUAAUUGAUUCAAAAUAUUCAAUGUUACGAUGGAAUUCAAUACCUAAAUGAGUGAAAGCGUUGGUUGUUGUCGACACCUCAAUUUUUUACCAGUAAAAUUUUUCUUAUCAAACAUUUUACUGAUAAAUCGAAAUAUACAAUUUUGCAGGAAUAAUAAUAAAAGUGAAUGAUGAAUGAAACACCGGGCCCACGACUCCACAGCCCAUCCAUGACUAGAAGAUGUAGACUACUAAAUCGAGAGUUUGGCCCAAGGGCUUUUAAGCUAGUUCAGGGGAUGAAUGACACCAAGCAGACCCUCAAAGGAUGAAAUGGAACUUUCAAUCCAGUCAAAUGGUCUUUUCCAUUCUUUUCUUACAGCUACACCGUAAGAAAACCAUAUCGAGGUCAGUACAAAUUACAAGUUGGUGCGACAAUUUAAGAUUAAAUUACUAUGCUGAGGUGAUUGACAUUCUCAUGGUACUAAGUCUAUAGCUUAACUAAUACACGAAAAAGAAAAAUAAUAACUAUAGGUGCAAUCCAUAUUACACCAAGAUCAGUUAAAUUACAAUGCUGGAGUUAAAUUACUAGGUACGAGAACUACAAGGUAUGACCCUAAAGGAAAUUUAUAAUACAAGGAGUAAGAUCUCUUAAGAUGAAGUCAUUUACCUUAGAGGAAGUAAUUUCAUAUACAUUUGAAAUGAGUAAUUUAGCUUGAAAGUAAAGUUCACCAUGCAAAAUGAAGUUCGUAAACUUUUUAUGUCAUAACAUUCGGGAAACUCGCUACAGCAGGUCAUUUUAUAUAUUCAUUGCAUGCAGAAGGGAAUCCGGUCACGUACUUUCCUAUCAAUGCAUACUCAUUAUUGACAAAAGUGCAGCUUCAGACAAUACAGGCUUCCAAGACUUCUUAAGUCAGUCACGAUCCCCAAGAGCAUCAAUCUUCCUCAACAAUGAACUGAAUAAAGACUGAAAUAUAUAGGUUUCGAACCUUGAUAUCAAGGUCUUCAUUGCAUUAACUCUUCUGUGAUCCUCCUCUCCAUGUAGAUGCAAAAUGGGAGAACCAGAUUCUGACCAAACAACCCCCUUUACGUUUUCACUUCUUGCCACGCGCCCUCAUCUGUAACAUGCAGGAAAAAAAGAAGGGACUGAUGGAAUCUACUCCUGUCACUGCAGGCAUGAACUCAGAUCCCGCUUAGUGCAUGAAAGUCUCGACUCAUCAACUCAUAAGCAGAGGGCACAUCAUGCAAGGGAUGGCCUUUCCGGUUUCUCUCCAUUAUCCUUCUUGCCAGGGAAACUUGCUUCCCAACUGCAAAGACAAACGCUUUGCCUGUCCCUCCAGCACCUCUUGCUGUUCUUCCAACACGGCGGACAUAUUCGCUCGGAUCCCGCGGGAAGUCAAAGAGAAUAACAUGAUCCACUCCAGUGAAGUCGAUUCCUCGCGAGGCCCUGCCAUAUGGAUGAAAAAUCAUCAGGAUCUCGCAAAAAGAUGAGAGUGACAUGUCUUUGGUAAAUUUGUAUGUGCCCAGCGACCCCACCAACAGUUACAAGCGGCCACCUUUUAUUUGACCGCAUCACAACCAGUGCUGUUAAAAGCACCAGGCCCUCUUAAGAGGCUUAGAGCCCACAAUGCAUCAGGCGCUAGGCUGAAUGAUGGGAGGUGCCAAGUAAAUGUGGGGAUUAAGCCAUCAAGAAACAAAUUAGUAGGUCUUUCAAUUGCAAAUUAAUCAAGGUCUGCAUCGUAGCAAAUAUGGAGUGCUGCGAGAUGUGAGUGUAUAAAAGUUAACAAAGAAUUAGAAAGGACAGAUUACAAGAUUAGUAGAUCGACCUUCAUUGUUUAUUUUUUUGGUUCUGUCCUUCCUCACAAGCUUUGGAGGACAAUGGAACAAGAGAGAACAACUGUGGCCAUUUUGAGAUGAAAGAAGCUAAAAAUCUUUCGGCUUCUUAGAGCCUAGAAGCUGUCCUCCACUUCCCACAGCUCUUUCAAAAAAGAUAUUUAUCUAUUCUGUUCUUCAUUUUUAGGGAUAAUGACAAAAAUGGUCAUUGAACUUUUGACCCAAUGUGUAAUGUGAUCAAUGAACUUUUAAUUUUUUCAAUGUGGUCCAUGAACUUUAUCCCAAUGUGCAAUGUGAUCCCUGAACUUUCAUUUUGUUCAAUGUGAUCCCUAAACUUUUAGUACAUGUUCAACUUAAUCCUUGAAAUAUAUUGAAAUGUUCAAUAUUGUCCUUUCAUUAAUUCAAGAGUAGGACUACACUGAACAUUUUCAUAUAGUUCAGGGACUAAAUUUAACAUGUACAAAAAGUUUAUGGACCAUAUUAAACAAAUUGAAAAUUUAGGAACCAUAUUGCACAUUGGAUUAAACUUCAUGAACUAGUUGUCAUUUUCCCUCAUUUUUACUAAGGACAGGAUAAAAACGUCGAAGGAAAAAUGUAAAGCUAGACAGAUCUUUUCUAAGGCAACACCUCACAUGAGAAGGACCUCACCUCAGGCGCUUACCUCAAAUGAGGAAACCUUGCCUGAGAUGAGGUGAGGAGCAUAGGCUUCACCUCGCUUUGCCUGAGCACCUAGGUGAGUACCUCGAGUGUUAGCUAACGCUAAGCUCUUGCCCAUCAGUGAAAUGGAGCUGAGCCCAAUACCCUAAAACUUGCAAGUACACAGGCCCAAUAAUUUGAAAAAUCCACUAGACAGAACAAGGCCUAUCCCAGCCAUUGCUAUUUUCGUCUAAUUCUUGUUGACACAGACUACAUUAUAAUUGUGCAAGCUUGAAUUGAUAACUGAAGGCCUGGGUCUUUGCAGGUCACACAUAGUUUAACUAAAGGCAACUGUACAUACCUGUCGGUGCAAACCAAAAACAAGGAGACAUCUUUAGAUGGAGAAGCAGCAAACUCUUUCAUAUUUGCCUGCCGCAACUCUUGUGAAACAACAGCAUGAAAAGGUAGAACUCUUGUACGAGCACCUUUUCUGUCAAUGCGCUUCAAUGCAUUUUCAACUUUUCGACAUGUCUCAAUCUGUAUAUGGAGAAGAGGAAGGACGAGUUAAAAAGUAUUGAUGAGUUCUCCAUCGAGGUGGCUUCAGAGCUGUCUCUCAAACUCCAGGUCAGAAGUUAGCAAGAUGGGGGGGAGACAGAAGUAAAUGUAAUGAUGAAUCAAUUUCAAGCAGCUCACACUGAAAGAUCAACAUACCUUGUUACAGAAUACAAUCGUUUUGGUUACUGGGCUUUCUUCUGCAAGCUGAAUAAGAGCAGACUUCUUAUUCAGGAAUGCAGUAUCUGAAGUCUUUUCACUGUCUUCCUCUCCACUACAAUCUGCAACAUGUACAACGAAACCAUUCUUCUAUUUUUCAGUACACUAUAGCUACAUAGAGUUCUUUGUUUGUAGUAUAGCAUGGACUGAAAUCUGCCGAAUGCCAAAACCAUCCAGGCUUUGAUGUCAUUCAAAUUCUUAGCGAGAAAAUCCAUUAACGACAGGUUUUUUAACUUCAUAUCCUAUAUCAAACAAUAUGACGAGUGGAGCUUUCACAAUUUGUCUCCGGUCAUUUCUCAAAGUAGUUUCUACUGGGUCUAACGGAUAGCAAUAUAUCUAGCCUUUUUUAAAAAUCAAAGCAAAGGUCUCCAUAACUCAACCCAGAAAUUUGAGUUUCAGCUGUGUAGGUAAGAGUAAGAAUAGAAAUUUCGCUAAUAUUUUUCUUUCCUCAAAGAAUGGUAAUGAUACAUGGUGGUACUAAAUCUAGGAAACAGUAGCACAAUCACAUUCAUUACUCAAAAACAGAUGAGAAGAAGAUGAUUUUGAAUACCUCAUGCACCCAAACUCAUUCAUGCAACAUUAUACAAUGCAGGCUUACCAUCUAAGAUCCUUCAACUCCAAAAAGCCUUCUUUAAUGAGAAAAAUAAAGCGACCAGGAGUGGCUAUUAGGACAUCAACACCUUCUUCUAUAUUUUCCAGCUGAGUUUUCUGCCUGAAACCACCCGUGGCAACCAUAGACCGGAAUGGAGCCCCACACUUUGAUAUGGAUCGGCAGUUACUCAAAACCUGCAUAAAACUUACUAUAGAUAUUAAGUAUCGCUCAUGUGGACUAUGUUAGUUUGUAAUCAACUACUAGCAAAAACACACAUGGCUAUAAAUAAAACAAACUAUAGAUUGUCUCCAAAUUCAGAACACCUACAUUUUCAACAGCUCCACAGAGAUUACCAGUUUUGCCACAUGAACGGAUUAUGCACAUCAUAUAAGCAACUGUGCCACUCAAAUUGCAUAUUUGUCUUUGCAGGAACACAAUACAAUCUUUCAGAUUGCAACACUUAGGAAUCUCCAUAUUUUUAUUUUUAUUUUCAUUUUCGAAAGAAGAGAUGACAAUUUGAGUAUUAUAGGCAACAAGUUGUUCAAAAGAAUUUGACUGCCGCCAAAAAUAAAUUGCAGUGCUUUUUUACCACAAAUUUGUUGCUUAAGGAAGAGCCUAUCACAGUAUGGGAUGAGAGCUUAAAAUGGCCAUAAACAAGUAAAAGUUGGUGACUUGAUUGCCAAAGCACGUAAGGGUAAAAGAAAAGGCACAAGAAGGAUACCAACUACCAACCUGUGAAGCUAACUCAGCAGUUGGCACCAAAAUGACAACUCGAGGGCUUCGUGAGAAGGAUUUGCUAAGUCCCUGCAGUUCUUCUUGUCUGAGACGUUGGACUGCUGGUGCAAGAUAAACCAGCGUUUUUCCCGAGCCACUCUGAUCAGCUAUAAUACAAGUCUUUCCCUCAAUUACAGGUUUGAAUGCCAUUGCCUGCAGUCAUUCAUAGUUAGCAUCAAUCUGAGUUGCAGUACACUAGGAGAAGAUCUUCCUUUUGUCAAGUUGUAGAUAGAACAUCUUGAUGGAAUUACUUAUCAAUACCCAUGAGAAGGAAAAGACAAAAACCGAUGCUAUAGGUUGGCCCUUCAAUGACUUCCACAUCCAUCAGCUCCAAAUUCACGCUUACAGAUAAAAUAUUGAUGAUGAAAAAUGCAAGCUUACCUCUAGAACUAUACAGAAACAAGGUCAUCAUUGAUUUAAAGCCCAAUAUGGAUAUCAUGCAGACAGUAGAUAUAAUGGAAAUAAUUAGAACGUGCUCAAAUUUAGUAUACUGCCAGCUAAAACAGCAGUAAGGAAGCAACGACCAAGUUCCUUUCAUUUACCAGCCAAAAAAGAGAAAACAACAAGUUGAAACCUUUGACUUCGAGUAGGUCAUACUAUUGAUGUACCUGAAUAUGUGAGGGGUGCAGAAACUGCUGCUUCCUCAAAGAUUCAAUCAUAUAGUCACUACAACCCAAAUCUUCAAAGGACUUUUGACUAUAGAAGUCACCAUUGGAGGAAACUUUCCUAUGCAAAUUUAGAUCUUUUGACUCAGAUCUAAAGUCAUCCACAGACACCCUCCUGCCCCAUCCUCUGAAAUCUGCAUUAGAACUACGAACUGAAUGCUCUGUUCCAACUACUCUGGUGGCAGAUAUGCCGUGUUUAUUGGGUUCCAUUCGGUGCACUGAAUGAUCCACAUCUGCAGUGUCAGUCCUCCCUGCAGCAUCUUUGGCAGCUUUGGAUCGGUAAGGACCCAAAUCCUUUCCUUUAAGUCCAAUGAUAGCUGCUUCCUUCUUUUUCCCCCGUUGAUCCAAUUUGGAAUAAGAGAGAUCAGGCACAUCAAAAGGCACAUUUUCUAUUUCUUGUUCAUAAUCCUUGUGACUCGCUUCCUUUAGCUUGGAAGAUUUUUCAGCAAGAGCUUUGACUCUCUGAGAUGUCAAUCGUCCAAAACUUCUGCCCCUCACACUUGCUGCAGGAGAAUCAUCUUUUGGCAGCGUUGACCCAUGAUGAUUGCCUGCAAAAGAAGAAAUGACUGUUGGAUUUCAUUUCAUCAAUGUGAAAACAAAUUCAUCUCCAAGCUCCAACUUUAUGCGUUACACAGAGGGAUUAAGUACGCUGUGAGAAAGUCUAACACAGAUUGAAAUGGGAGAGAAAUUUCUAACUUGUUUGCAUAUAUUCAUUUUCGAGCCAAACUAAGAAAACCAAAAUCUUUUGCCCAAGGUUGCACGAUUCAAAUAAGCUCCAAAAGAAGAUCUAGUGUUGGACUUGUUAUGCAUCUGAACACAAUGGUUCAGCUUUGGCAUUUGCACAGCAGAAAAUUCAUAUAACAAAUUGCUUGAGUUGUCCCAACGGCUCAGGUACCAAUUAUCAACAAUGCAUACACCCAAAAAAAAAAAAAAAAAACAACAACAACAACAAAUAAAAGGGAAUUCGUCAUCAGAACGGACCGCAUUAGUUAUUCAAUUUGCGCAUUCACAUCAAACACGUCUACAGUUGAAUGCAAACGACGCAAGGUAUAGCUCAAUUACUGAGAUAUAAUCUAACCUAACUUUCAGCUCAGCAACCCAAAUAAGAGUACGCUAGUAACAUCAAACCAUCGUCCCAAAAAAGAUAGCGACAGUAAGACACAAAUUCCCUUUAUCUGCCACGCUCUCAAAACAAAAAACUACCCAAUCAUCCACAUGACCAAAGACUCAAUUCGCAGCGAAGCAUCACCUCCACUAGAACCGCCGCCGCCGCCGCCGCCGCCGCCCUUCCUCGCGGGCUUCCACCGGAGGACGUCCUUGGGCGGAACCGGAGAGUCGGCCGGGUCGUCGCUGCCGCCCCCGACGAUGAAACGCUCGCCCGUCUCGUCGUCGAUCAGCUGGUAGGCCCCCGGAGUGUCCCAUGGCGUCCUCGUGUAGCCGCCCGACCGGACGGCGAAAUUACGGGUCCCGCCGCCGGUAAGGCGGAGGCGGAGGCGGCGGCGGCGAGCGCCGAGGGCCCGGGAGGCGAGGGGACGGGGACGGAAGGAGAAAGGGUACGCGACGGAGCUGGAGGUGGAGGUGGAUGUGAAUGGUGUGGAGUUGAGGCUGAUGGAAGGAGAAGGAGCUUUCGCUAGCAUCAUCGUGCAUGCCCAGAAAAAAUAGAAGAUGACGAUGAUGAUGAAGAUGAAGUUUUUUUCUUUUUCUUUUUUUAUUUGAGCUCAAAACGCUUCCAAAUUUUUUAAAAAAAAAAAUUAAUACUGGCACGCACGAGGGCUUUUAUUUGUCUUUUCCAAAACUUUUUUAUUUUGACGACUUUCGGGAUAUAUUGGAAGAACUCGAAAUAAAACACUACAUUGAAAAUUAACGCCUUUUUUAGAGAAAGGUUUCCCUUUUAAGAUAUAAACUAUCUGAAUAUCGUAUAUGAGUUUUGAAUUUUAUUCAUUUAUUCAUCGAUUUUAAGAAAGAAGGCCUACAAUUAAAAGAUAUAAAAGGUAUUAUUGAAAUUUUGUAAGGCCUAGAUUUUUUAAAGUCUUAAUAAGGAAGUGAUGGAGAUUUUUCGAUCUAUUAUUUUCAAUCCAAUUGGUGCAUACUAAUAUAUUUUGUAAGUUUUUCUCCUAGCUAAGAAUUAAUAUAACUAUUGCCUCAUCACAUUUGAGAGUAUCAUGGAAUAUUUCAGGACAUUCCAUGAUUUAUUGUGAUAUAUUGACCAUCACUUCGUUAUGGAGUAUAUUAAUAUGUGAGGAAAUGAAUUAAUAACCUAGAAAGCACCGAUAAUUUCAAAGAGCUUUCAUGUCAUGCCAAACAUUCAAUAUGUGUUUAAUAUUCUCCGACACUUUUCGACACCUAACCAACACAUGCCAGAAGCUGAGCCAUAGAUUCUUUGAAGUCUUCAUAAGGAGCUUAUCGAAGUUUUCAAUCAAUUAUUUUCAAUCCAAUUUGGUGCAUAUUAAUAAAUUUCGUAAACCUAACGAAAAACUAAUAUAUAUAUAUAUGAGAAGGAAAAGAGAACUCUUAUAAAGGUACCGCCACAACACAUUUGAGAGUAUCAUCGAAUAUUUCAAGGCAUUCCCUAAUUUAUUGUGAUAUCACCACUAUCACUUCAUUAGGCAAUAUAUUAGUAGUAACUGACACAAUGAGAUACUGAUAAUCUAAUAGAGACUAUAAUUUUUAUGGGAGUAUUUUUGCCUAAUUUAUAUGUAUGUUUUCACUAGUCAAGGACACCAUUGAAUAGAUUCGAAAAAUUUGGGCCUCUUUGACCAAGGAAACAAGUUUGAAAAGUGUUCCGCUAUUCCAAAAUUGGAACAUAUAUUCAUUUAUGAUCAAUUUCAUCUUACGUCAUUACUUCAUCCAAGUUAAUACGUUACAUUCCAUGAUUGUAUCACUCAAUAAUGGUGCAAAGGAAAAUGAGCCAGCCAAAAGUAAAAGAUCAAAUUGAGAGAGAUGUGUGAUCAGAUGUGAAAGAUCGAUCCGUAUAUUGACAGUGUAAUCGAUAGAUAAAAUACAUUCUCAAGCGAUCAUGUCAUGCAAAUGAAUCAAUGUGUCUUGGCUAGAAGAUGGAAAUUGGAAGAAUUGAGAGAUUUGUUCUCAAGGCCCAUCGCCUAAUUCCUCGUAGGUUGGCCCAAGGGGCUGCGAAGCUGGUUCAGAAGGCGAAUGAUCCCUAGAAGGCCCUCAAAAAGAGUGGAAUGGAACUUGUUUUAUCCAAACAAAACAUUCAAAGGGGAAUGAGAAUUUAAAAAUUAACCAAUAGCAAAGGGGCAAAAAAAAAAAAAAAUCAAAACCCCAGCUUUUCCACAAUGGGCCAAUAAAUCCCUUCUCUCAUUCAAAGUUUAAAGAAAAGUUUCAAACCAUGAUGAUGAGUCCCAAUGUCGAAGCUGAUUUUUGUGACCAAGGUGGGGCCUGAACUUUCCCAUAUCGUUUGGCUGUUAAGUCCGACAUGCAGAGCGGCCUGUAAGGCCCGAGGACCGAAAAUUAAGAAGCCUGAUAUUUGUCCGCGUGACAACAUUGCCACUGUGGAUUGAGUGAUAAAUAUGUCACAAUGAUUUUACCAAAAAUAAAUAAUUCAAAUAAUAUCUUUUUAAAAUAUUUUUAAAUUAUUUAUUUUUUAGGAAAUAAAAAAAGUCUACGAAUAUUCCAAAUUUCGUUGAAAUUCAAGCGAUGCACAAAAAAAAUAUGAAAUUAAAAGAAGAGAUGUCAACGUUUUUUUAAUGGCCCACCUGCCAUGAAAUGUUUCACGAGAUUUUGGAGUGGGGCCGUCAGCUUUUCGCAAAUAAUGAGCACGAUUUAAUGUUACCCUAUGGUUGAUGCUGCUCUCCGAGCAGGCUACGUUCAAAUAAGCUGGAGGUACUAUCAUUUGAUUAUGUGGGGAUUGGUUAAGGAAAAACAAGGGGCAAAAAAGGAUGAAAGAGAGUGCUGAGGGUGAGAGAGAGGGCGUUAAGAAGAGAGAGAGAGCGGCGGGAAUCGGUUGAACUAACUGCCGUGAUUGUCGUCGAGGCGAUCACCAUACUCGGGCUGUCACGACCGAGGUUAUUUCUCUUGAGCCGCCACUAGGUCUCUUUCUUUGAAAUAGAUCCUUAGGAGUUGAUUUUGCAGACAUCGAUGGCAGUCAUGGAUCUCUCUCUAACUAACACACUCACCCGCCCACCCACCACAGGAUUUAAGGAUCACAACCAGCAUAAAUAAUCAUAGUUUUUAGAUAACUAUGGCAAGACAAUUAUAUGAAUUAAAAUGUCCAACUAAAAGGAAGGAGAUCUCCUAUGUAUGAAUUGCGUGUAAACCCAAUUGGAAGAUCAUAGAAGAAAUGGCAUAUUGGAGGAAGAGUAUAGUUGUAACCAGAAAUUAAUAUCUUCGAGAAAAUGACAACAAAUAAUUAAAUAGAAAGUGAGAUACGGUUAAUUGAAUAUUCUUAAAGUGGUUAGUUUUUGCCAACGAUUAAGCAACUUCACGAACUACUAUGUCUCUCGAAAUAUAAUAUCUUGAACUCGUUUGAAUUAGCACCAUACAUACAGGACUCUAUCGAGCACUUAUUGAGACUAGCACACUUAGAGAAAAAUUGAAGUGAGAAGAUGUAGGUGAUUCGAUUGAUACUUUGGAUGAAGAAUUUCAAAUCUAUUUAUAGAGUUUAAGAAGUUAUGUACAUAACAGAUACACGCACUAGAGAGGUACAUGGAUUAAAUAGGUAUAAGAAUCAAAUAAAUACAUAAACACAAGAAAUAUAUGAAUUUUAAAGAUAUAUGAACUUGAAAAAUACAUGAAUUAAUGAGAUAGAUGAACUAAAAAAAAUGAAUCUCAUUUUGCUCACUUUCGUUGAUCUAUUAAUUCACCGCAAUUACAACAAACCUAAUUCUGAUGCGAUAUCGAUUCAAAAUCUUGAGUUUACAAGUUUAUAAAAAUAUAGAAAAUGCCUUACCAAAAAAAAAAAAAUAAGAGUAUAGAAAAUCGUAGAAAAAGACAUGUGGGAUAUCAAUUGGACGAUGACGAUAGUGGUGUCUUCCAUUAUCUCAUUACAUCCGUUCAUAACAUAUCAGUAGCAAGACUUUCUCAUCUUCUUCCAAAGCUCUAUAGAUGAUGGUGAUAGCGAUGUCUUCCGAGCGAUGGAGCCAGAGUGACGCUCUCACAAAUCUCCCAUUCAAAUCUCCCGAGCAAAAAGCGUUUACCACCAAUUUGUCGGCGCCCUCCCCUCCGCAGGUUCCUCUCGCUCGAGCUCGUACUUUUAAAUUUUUUAUUUUCACUUACUCACAAGCGAUUGAAUCGUCUCCAACUCUUUGAUUGAGAUCAUGGUUCCACUUCCCGCAGUCAUUAAGUUAAUCAACUCCCUUUUUUUUCAAGUUCCCUUUGGUAUUUUUUCCACCAAGAGUAACGCCACUCGCCGACUGUCCCUAUUGGAGCUGUCAGAGCAGUAGCUACAGCAAUCACAACAGGCGGUGCACCGAUCGCAACUGCAACGACUGAGAAGAUCACAGUGACCACGAAGGCGGUCACAAAUAUGGCAUUGGUCACCCUUCUGCAAGCUUGUGCAGAUUUAGUUUUUUUUGGCAAGCUUCUUCUUACGACUCUGCAACUUCUGCAACAUCUCUGCCUGCUGCUCAUUCACCGAGUGAAGGAGAGUGAAUAACUUGUCCGUGAAUGGGUUGGCUGCUUCGUUGAAUUUCUUGAGCUCCCGCAGUGUCUCGACAUACUUCUUCCCUCCCACAUUCUCUCCUCUCUCUUCUUCAGAGUCCGUAAGUGCAUCGCGAAUCUCCCACUGGUUACCAUGGGCCUGACUCAGGCAAUCAUUGAGAGAAGAAUAGAAUUUUAAUAUAUUUUGGACACAGUCGAAGUAACAAAUCACUAAAUCGGACAGCUCUGUCAUUUACAUUUAGAGGAAGUAAUUUAAUUUACCUUUUGAGUAAUUUAGCUUGAAAGUAAAGUUGGCUACGAAGGUUGAAAGUAAUUUAAUUUAGCUUGAAAGUAAUUUAAUUUACCUUUUGAGUAAUUCAGUUUGUAAAUUAUAUUUUGUGCUCGUAAAUUAGCUUCUUAUACCGUAACGCUCAGUAAUUUGCUAUAGCAGGUCAUUUUAUAUUUUCAUUGCAUACAACAGGGGAUGCAUACAACAGGGGAUACAGUCCCGAACUUUUCUAUCAUUACAUAUUCAUUAUCAACAAAGUGCAACUUCAGACAAUAUGGGCCUCCGAGACUUCUUAACUCGGUCUUGAUCCUCAGGAGCAUCAAUCCUCUUCGACAAUGAACUGAAUAAAGACCGAAAUAUAUAAGUUUUGAACCUUGAUAUCAAGCUCUUCAUUGCGCUGACGCUUCUGUGAUCCCCCUCAACAUGGAGAUGCAAAAUAGGAGAACCAGAUUCUAAACAAACAACUCCUUUUACGUUUUCACUUCUUGCCUCGCGCUGCUCUUCUGUAACAUGCAGGAAAAAUAGAAUGGACCGAUGGGAUCUACUCCCGUCAUAAACUCAGAUCCCGCUCAGUGCACAAACGUCUCAUCAACUCAUAAGCGGAGGGCACAUCAUGCUAGGGAUGACCUUUCCAGUUUCUCUCCAUUAUCCUUCUUGCCAGGGAAACUUGCUUCCCAACUGCAGAGACGAACGCUUUGCCCUUCCCUCCAGCACCUCUCUCUGUGGCAGACAUAUUCGCUCGGAUCGCGCGGGAAGUUGAACAGAAUAACAUGGUCCACUCCAGUAAAGUCGAGUCCUCGUAACGACCUGUUAUAUGGUUGAAAAAUCAUCAGGAUCUUGCAAAUGCCUAAGGAAAGAUGAGAGUGACAUGUCUUAGGUAAAUUCAUGUGUAUCCAGUGACCCUGCUCUGCCUUUCGUUUGACCAUGUUGCAAACAGUGCCGUUAAAAUCACUAGGCGCUGUUAAGAGACUUAGACCCCACAGUGCCUCAGGCACUAGACCGAACAAUGAGAGGUGCCAAGUAAGAAGUGGGGAUUAAUCCAUCAACAAACAAAUUAUUAGGUCUUUCAUACUUAGAAUCACAAGUUAUUCGAGGUCUGCAUCAUAGCACAAAUUGCACUGGUNNNNNNNNNNNNNNNNNNNNNNNNNNNNNNNNNNNNNNNNNNNNNNNNNNNNNNNNNNNNNNNNNNNNNNNNNNNNNNNNNNNNNNNNNNNNNNNNNNNNUCCACCGGCAAACACCUAAUAAUCCAAUUGUGGCUUGGGCGAGGGUUGCCCUCGCCCAAGCGACCCUUGCCGGGUCGCGGUUGGGCGAGGGCUGCCCUCGCCAGAGCUCCUCCUAGCCUGGCCGGGCCUCACUUGUGGAGGGAGAGGCCAGCCGGCUGGCUGUGGCCGGUGACUGGCCGUUGCCAGUGGCCGGUGGCCGGCCACUGGAAAAGGGAAAAAAAAAAGAAAAUAAUAAUAAUAAAAAAUAAAAAUAAAAAUCAAAAAAUAUUAAAAUAUUAUUAAAAAUUGUCCACAUCAAACACCGGCGGUCCUACAUGGCACCGCCGGUGUCCAUGUCAGCAUUUUCCGGCCAAAAUUGGCCAAAUGGACUAAAUUGGCAAUAAGUGAAAAGGUUUAUGACUCAAUUGACAAAGUUAAAAGGUUUAGGACUGAAUUGGCAAAAGUGCAAUAAGUUUAUGACUUUUUGGACAAUUUUCCCGUUUUAAGUACCUCACUUAGGGCAAAAGCAUUUUUUGUUUUCCAAAUUAGAGCAAACUCUGCGAGGGUGAUCCUUCUGGAGUUUCGGGCUGGAUCGACUCUAGUUAGGUUUCAGACCUUUAGGCGAUGCUCAUAUCAAAUCGUGUUUAUAAAUUCUUCCAAGGAAGAAAAAUUUUAUGGUUGAAACGUGCAAAUACUAAGCAAGUCUAAUGGUUAAAAUGCCCCUUAUGCUGUAAAACCACAGAGACUAAGGACGUUAGCAGAAUAAUAACUUACCGAAGCUAAUCAUUUAACAAAUAUUAAACACCUAUUGAAAAUGAAUCUCAAUGCAAAACCAACCCUUCAUGUAAAUUUUAGAUUACAUGCCUUAAACUAAGAUUAACUUGUAAAAUGUCAUGCACAAUUUCCAAAAGAAUAAUUACCAAAAAGGUCAUUAACCUAUUGGACAUAUGUCAUUACAAUCAAUAACCUUUCAAUUUGAUCACAUUUAAUCAUAAACAUUUUAAGAAUUUGUCAAUAUAGUCAUUUCAGCCAAUUUUAGGCGAAAAUAAUUAAUGGGGAUACUAGCCAUCUUACAUGGCAUAGUGCUAAUAUAAAUAUUUUUUUAUAAUUUAAAAAAAAGUGAAUUUUUUUUUUUUUUCAUAAUUUUCGCCACACCCCUCUAGCCAACGAGGGCUCACAGGCCUUCGUCUAGUGGCCGUUGCUGGCCACGAUGAAAAAACAGAACAGAAAAUUUAUACAUCGGCAGGAUGGUUAGUGUUUAUUUCCACCGGACAAUGACGCCAUCCCGUUUUCUCGCGACUGCAGGUCAGCUCGCCGCUCGCCGCCGACGACCUCGAAGAGCAGCAGUCGGCGAUUUUCGUUGACGGAUCCAGUCAUCGUUCAAAGUCGGCCUCGAUGGAGCUUGAUAUCUCCGGAUUCGAUACGCCUUCUCCAAGAAGGUGACGGUCGCAGUGCACCACCAUCGUCACCGGCUGCGCAACGGAGUCAGCUCUCUCUGGCUUUUUCAUCUGGCUGAGUUCUCCACCAGCAUUGACAGGGCUCUCGCGAAUGAUCCGGUCGAGCUAGAGUUCACUCUCUCUCUCUCUUCCUCCGGAGCGGCUCCCGAAAAGCUCCGUCACCACCUCUCCAUUUCUGUCCUUCACCAUCGACGACUCCAGCUCGCCAGUAGGAUCUUCGCACGAUACCUCGGAGGCGAAGAAGAAUUCAGAAGCGGUUUCAUGUUCAUCUUUGCUUUUCACUGGAAUCAACAGACCCUCGGACUUGGUGAGUCGGGGACCGAUGAAGCUCAAUUCGGCACAUUGAAACUCGGAUCCUCACCGUCAUCGUGGACGAUCUAGACUCUUAAUCUCUGAUAAUCUCAGGUUCUGAUCCAUCGUUUCUCGCUUCGUCGCUGAUAAUCUGUUUGCCGAAUUUUCCCCCAAGAAGCACGCGAUGCAGAGGAAGGACUAAGAAGCUGAUGACACGAGAGAGAAAGUGGAGCCGUGAAACAGAGCAGUCGCUUGCCAUCGUCCAACGCAGCUUCACCGUCGGCUUUAAUGCUCGUGGCCGGAUGCAGCGAUUGCGAGUUCAGGCGAUGACAAAAUCCAUCCGCUAACGGCCGCACUCACCCAGGUCAUUUUCGGCUACUGCAUCACAAAAUUCAACCAUCGAAUUUCAGCACUAGAGAAAAAUGCAAGGAGAGAAUCGGAUGAAUUCCAGGCGAUCGAUCCUACAGGUUUAGCUAAUGAUAGAGAGGCCCGUUGCAAGUUAGAACAGCUCCUAAGCUUGCCAUCAGGAAAUGCCGAACUCGGGCAGGUUUUUACUCUGAAAUCAAGAAAGGAGGGCCCUAAAUAUGUGCACAUUGUUCUUGCUUCUUCGUAUCAGAACGGCUCUCGCUUCUAACCUCAUGCAACUAUGGAGGCAACUUUUGUAAACUCAAGUUGGAACUAAUGCUUUCUCAAGAUAUUGCACAAAUAAGAAGUUUAUGGGCUGCAUUUUAGAUUAGAUCAAAGUACAUGGGCUAUGUAUGUUACUAUCCCUAUUAAGAGAUGUGAUUGAUUGAUAAAAAAAAAAAUACAUUUUUUUCUGGCCACAUCAUGUAAACAGACCGGCUUGGCUAGACCUAGAAGAUGUAGAAUACAAAAAUUGAGAGUUUGGCCCGAGGGCUUCUAAGAUGGUGCAGGAGAUGAAUGACACCAGGAAAGGCCCUCAAAGAAUGGAAUGACACUUUCAUUCUAGUCGGAUGGUCUUUUCCAUUCUUACAACUGCAACAUCGUAAGAGAAACUAUAUGGAGGUCGGUACAAAUUACAAGUUUUGUCUGUUGCAACAGUUUAAGAUAAGUUACUAUGCUGAUGUCAUUGACAUUCUCACGGUAUGAAGUCUAGAGCCAAACUUAUACGUGAAAAAGAAAAAUAAUAACUACAGGUAGAUUACUCCAGGAUCAGUCAAAUUACAAUGCUGGAGUCAUAUUACCAGGUACAAGAACUAUAAGGUAUGACCUUUAAGGAAAAUUAUAAUACAAGGAGUAACAUCUCUUAAGACGGAGUCAUUUACAUUUAGAGGAAGUAAUUUAAUUUACCUUUGAGUAAUUUAGCCUGAAAGUAAAGUUGGCUAUGCAGUAUAAAGUUCGUAAAUUAUAUUUUGUGCUCGUAAAUUAGCUUCUUAUAUCAUAACACUCAGUCACUUGCUAUAGCAGGUCAUUUUAUAUAUUCAAUGCAUACAGCAGGGGAUAAGGUCCCGAACUUUCCUAUCAUGGCAUAUUCAUUAUCAACAAAGUGCAAUUUCAGGCAAUACGGGCCUCCGAGACUUCUUAACUCGGUCUCGAUCCUCAGGGGCAUCAAUCCUCCUUGACAAUGAACUGAAUAAAGACUGAAAUAUAUAAGUUGUGAACCUUGAUAUCAAGCUCUUCAUUGCAUUGAUGCUUCUGUUCCCCCUCAACAUGUAGAUGCAAAAUGAGAGAACCAGAUUCUAACCAAACAACUCCCUUUACGUUUUCACUUCUUGCCUCGCGCUGCUCCUCCGUAACAUGCAGGAGAAAAAUAAUGGACUGAUGGGAUCUACUCCCGUCACUCCAGGCAUGAACUCAGAUCCUGCUUAGUGCACGAACGUCUCAUCAACUCAUAAGUGGAGGGCACGUCAUGCAAGGGAUGACCUUUCCAGUUUCUCUCCAUUAUCCUUCUCGCCGGGGAAACUUGCUUCCCAACUGCAGAGACGAACGCUUUGCCUUUCCCUCCAGCACCUCUCUCUGUGGCGGACAUAUUCGCUUGGAUCGCGGGGGAAGUCAAAGAGAAUAACAUGGUCCACUCCAGUAAAGUCGAUUCCUUGUAACGACUUGUCAUGGUUGAAAAAUCAUCAGGAUCUUGCAAAUACCUAAGGAAAGAUGAGAGUGACAUGUCUUAGGUAAAUUCAUGAGUGUCCCAUGACCCUGCUCUGCCUUCCGUUUGACUGCGUCACAAACAGUGCCAUUAAAAUCACUAGGCGCUGUUAAGAGACUCAGACCCCACAGUGCCUCAGGCACUAGGCUGAACAAUGAGAGGUGCCAAGUAAACAGUGGGGAUUAAAAUAUCAACAAACAAAUCAUUAGGUCUUUCAUACUUAGAAUCACAAGUUAUUCGUGGUCUGCAUCGUAGCACAAAUUGCACUGGUGCAAAGAUGUUAACCUAGACAAAUCUUUUCUGAGGCAAUGCCUCAGAGGAGGAGCACCUCAUCUCAGGUGCUUACCUCAAAUGAAGGAACCUUUCCUGAGAUGAGGUGAGUAGCAGAGGCUUUGCCUCGCUUUGCUAGAGCGCCUAGGUGAGUGUCUCAAGUGUUAGCUAACACUGAGCUUUUGCCUAUCCCAAUUAUUCACAAAACCCACAAGACAGAACAAGGCCUAUCCCAGCCAUUACUAUUUUCAUCUAAUUCUUGUUGAGACUGACUCCAUUAUUAAAUGUGCAAGCUUGGAUUGAGAACUGAAGGCCUGGGUCUAGGCAGGUUAUGCACAGUUUAACUUAAGGCCUACUUUUAGGGAUGAAGCUUGGCUGCAGAGCAGAUCUAUUUCUAGAAGCAUAGUUUGAUUGAUAUCGCACAACGCAUCUAUACAUACCUGUCGGUGCAAACCAAACACAAGGAGACAUCUUUAAAUGAAGAAGCAAACUCUUUCAUUUUUGCCUGCCGCAACUCUUGUGAAACAGCAGCAUGAUAAGGUAGAACUCGUGCAUCAGCACCUUUCUGUCAAUGCACUUCAAUGCAUUUUCAACUUUUCGACAUCUCUCAAUCUGUAUGUGGAGAAGAGGACAAAGUAAUGAUGACUCCUCCAUUCAGUGGCUUCAGAACCUUCUCUCAAACUCCAGGUCAGGAGUAAGUGAGAUGGUCGGGAGAGAGAAGGAAAUGUAAUGAUGACUCAAUUUCAAGCAGUCUUUACUGAAAGAUCAACAUACCUUGUUACAGAAAACAAUCAUUUUGAUUACGGGCCUUCUUCCGCAAGCUGAAUAAAAGCAGACUUCUUAUUCAGGAAUGCAGUACCUGGAGUCUUUUCACUGUCUUCCUCUCCACUACAAUCCACAAGAAACUGGACGUAACUCUUAAAUUCUCCCCUAUUACAAUGGUAUUCAUAGUUUUCUUCUGAACAGGAAAAUAGGAGGAGAAGCACUGAUUAGCUACCACACCAAAUUUAUGCAACACGUUCAUCAGGGGGAAGGACAAAGCAAUUUCAUGCAACAGAAGAUUACUGUUCAACCUGCAUGAGAAAGCUCUUAGCCUAACUAGGAUUAAUGUUGCGAAAAUAAUCCUUCUCCAGUAUAUGCAACCUAAAUUAGUUUGUACAAUACCUCUAUACAAAGUUAAAUUUUGAGAAUCAACGAACUGGCAAAAUGAAUAGAAACAAUAUUUAGGACAACUGCAAAAACUCUUCUGCAAAUUGAGGAAAGAAGAGAAACAGAGAGGACCCUGAUAUAAUUCCCAAUCAUCUCAGCACAAUCGAUGAUAGGACCCUAAUAUAAUCCUCAAUCAUCUCAGCACAAUUGAUGAAAUUUCAGGGACUUCUCCUGAUUUUAUUUCUCUUCACCUCCAAGCAGAUUAAAUGACUUACAGAAUGCUGGUGGCACCUUUAGAUGGUAUAGACUGCUUUUAGCCAAAAGAAUACCAUAGACUACUAAUACGCAUGUGCUAAGAGGCAUUCAAGGAAAAAAAUUUAUUCCACUCUCCAUCUUCUCCCAUCAAUAUGCAGUAACAAUCCACUCCCAAAACCAAAGCAUUUACGUAAAACCAUGCUCCAUCACUUUUAUGGACCAUAACCAACAGCUUAGUUAUGAGUAAUUUGUUGUCCAAAAGCAUCCAAAAAAAUGUUCAGACACAGACGUGAAUCCUUUUGUGCCUAAAUUAGAUAAUAGUAAUGUAUCCAUUGGCAAAUAAUGGAAAGGGGAAUAACACAGCUUUAGACCAACCUCUUCAAGGUGAGGGCUUGUCCGAUGAAUGCCAGGUUUCAUGAUCACUUCACAGUCAGAGGAAUUUCAACUAUUUUGUUAUAUAUAUCUACCGGCAAUGUGGCUGUCCCAAACAGAUACUGGGUGGCUACAGGUGAAGAAUUGAUUAUGCUUUGAAACGCUGCUUCGAACUCCUCAUCAUUGCAGAGAAUAUCCACCUAAUCCAAAAUCACGCUGCAGCGUGAAGCCAUAGAUUAUAGCAGCAGUUGCAAAACAAUCUGCAAUAUGCAUAAAGAUACCAUUCUUCUGUUAUUGAGUACAUUAUAGCUACAUAGAGCUCUUUGUUUGUAGCAUAGCAUGGACUGAGAUCUGCUGAAUGCCAAAAUCAUCCAGGCUUUGACGUCAUUCAAAUUCUUAGCAGGCAAAUCCAUUAACAAAAGAUUUUUUAACUUCAUAUCCUAUAUCAAACAAUAUGACGAGUGGAGCCUUCUCAAUUUGUCACCACUCAUUUCUCAAAGAUUUUUACUGGGGCUAACGAAUAGCAAUAUAUCUAACAUUUUUGUAAAUCAAAGCAAAGUUCUCCAUAACUCGAGCCAGAAAAUCAAGAUCCAGCUGUGUAUGUAAGAAUAGAAAUUUCAAUAAUCUUUUCCUUUCCUCAAAGAUUCGAAGAAUGGCAAUGAUGAAUGGUGGAAGUACUAAAUCAAGAAAACAGUAGCACAAUAACAUUCUUUACUCAAAAACAGAUGAAGAUGAUGAUUUCGAGUAGCUCGUGCACCCGAACUUAUUCAUGCAGCAUUAUACAAUGCACAGGCUUACCAUCUAAGAUCCUUCAACUCCAAAAAGCCUCCUUUACUGAGAGAAAUAAAGCAACCAGGAGUGGCUAUUAGGACAUCAACACCCUCUUCUAUACUUUCCAGCUGAGUUUUCCACCUGAAACCACCUGUGGCAACCAUAGACCAAAAUGGAGCCCCAAACUUCGAUAUGGAUCGGCAGUUACUCAAAACCUGCAUAAAACUCACUAUAGAAUUUUAAUGCUCACUCAUGCGAGUGCAAAAAAUUAUGUUAUGUUUGUCAUCCACUACUAGCAAAAACAAGCAUUGCUGUACAUAAAACCAACUAUAGAGUAUCUACAAAUUCAGAACACCUCCAUUUUCAACAGCUCUAAGGAGAUUACCAGUUUUGCGUCAUGGGUAAAUUAUGCACAUUAUUAAGAAACUUUGCCACUUCAAUUGUAUAUAUGCCUUUCCAGGAACCCAAUACAAUCUUUCAGAUUGCAACACUUAGGAAUCUAUUUUUCUUUUUCUUUUUUUCUUUUUUUUUUCCCUUUUCUGAAAGAAGAGAUGACAAUUUGAGUAUCAUAGGUGACAAGAUGUUAAAAACAGGUUGGCUGCCACCGAAAAUGAGUUGGAGUGCUUUUUUACCACAAAUUUGCUUCUGAAGCAAUAGCUUAUCACAGUAUAGGAUGAGACAUUAAAUUGGACAUAAGCUAGUAAAAGUUAACGAGUUACUUGCCAAAACACGUAAGGGCAAAGGAAAAGGCACAAGAAAGGACACCAACUACCAACCUGUGAAGCUAACUCAGCAGUAGGCACCAGAAUGACAGCUCGAGGGCUUUGUGAGAACGAUUUGCUAAGUCCUUGCAGCUCUUCCUCCCCAAGAUGGCCUACUGGUGCAAGAUAAGCCAGCACUUUUCCCGAACCACUCUGAUCAGCUAUAAUACACGUCUUUCCCUCAAUUAAAGGUUUGAAUGCCAUCGCCUACAGUCAUCCAUUGUUAGCAGCAAUCUGAGUUGCAGUACACCAGGAGAAGACCCUCCUUUUGUCAAGGUGUAGAUGGAACAUCUUGAUGUAAAGGCAUCCACGGAAACCCCCUCGCCCCAUCCUCUGAAAUCUGCAUUAGAACUGCCGAGUGAAGGCUCUGUUCCAACUAUUCUGGCGGCAGAUAUGCCUUGUUUAUCAGCUUCCAUUAGGUGCACUGAAUGAUCCAUUUCUUCUGUGUCAGUCCUUGCUGCAGCGCCUUUGGCAGCUUCAGAUUGGUAAGCACCUGAUACCUUUCCUCCAAGUAAAAAGAUAGCUGCUUCCUUAUUUUUCCCCAGUCGAUCCAAUUUAGGAAAAGAGAGAUUUUCUGCUACUGGUUCAUAAUCUCUACGACUCACUUGCUUUAGCUUGGACAAUUAUUCAGCAUGAGCUUUGACUCUCUGCCAUUUCACAUUGCACAAAGGGAUUCAGUACGCUACAAGAAAUUCUCAGCACAUAUUGAAAUGGGAGAGAAAUUUCAAGCCGUGUCGCAUACAUUCGUUUUCAAGCCAGACUAAGAAAACCAAAAUCAUUUGCCCAAGACUGUAUGAUUCAGAUAAAGCUCCAAAAGAAGAUGUAGUGUUGGAUUUGUUAUUCUCCAUCUGAACACAAUGCAUACAACAAAUCGCUUGAGUAGUUCCAAGAGCUUGGAUACCAAUUGUCAACAAUGCAAGCAUAGAAAAAGAAACCCACGACAAAUAAAAAGGGAAAUUCGUCAUCAGAACAAACCGCAUCAGUCAUUCCGACUUGCACAUUCACAUUGAACACAUCUACAGUCGAAUGCAAACUAACAGCUCGAUUACCGAGAUAAAUCCAACCCUACCGUCUCGUCAUCGAUCAACCGGUAGGUAGGCCCCCGACGGAAUCUCCUAGGGCAUCCCGCGUCGCCCCCCGACCGGACAGGCGGAAGGAGAAAGAGUGGGGGCGCGACUGAGCCGGAGCUGGAGCUGGAGGUGGAGGCGGAGGCGGAGGCAAAGGAGCUUUCGGUAGCCAUCAUUAUAGUUUCCGACGCCCCAGAAGAAGGAGCUUUCGGUAGCCAUCAUUAUAGUUUCCGACGCCCAGAAGCUUCAGCUUUUACCCGAUGAUCAAAAAGAGUCAAGGCUCAGAUAUUAAAAAUACCCUAAUCUCUUCCAUGUAGAAUAUUCAGAGUCCGAAUCCCUUCUCUCAAGUAAUUAAGUUGAAGUCAUGACCCAAUGUGACGUUUGGGAUUUCGCGGAUGAGGGACCAAUAUUUGCCGGUCCCCUUCCUGCAUCGCUCCUCGAGAAUCCCACAUCCCCAGAUACAGAGUUCUUCUAGAGAUGGAGGGAGGCCAUCCUGGGGCAACUCCCUCAGCUUCGGGCAAUCGAAGAAAUUUAAUUGCUCGAGCGAGGGAGGGAGACUGCUGGAUAGUCUUUUCACUUUCCCCAUACGUAAGAUAGAGAGCUUGAGCAGAGAGGAAGGGAGCGGAAGCACAAGAUCCUCCUCCUCUCCCACUCCUCCCAUGCUGCCGUCGAUGUCUAGGCAAUCAAGGGAGGUGAGGGGGGUAAGCCACUCCCUCACCGGCUGCUUCAUAUUCUCGCAUUUAGUCAUAGAAAGAAACUGUAGCUGGGGCGGCAAUCCUCCAUCAGGAAAGCGCGUAAUACUCUCACACCCACUAAUUACCAGAGUUUGGAGACUCGUGAGUCGAUGCAACUGAGGUAACGAUUUUAUCUUCGGACAAUCCCAAAGCCCAAACCACGAGAUGCCGGGAGGAAGAGGAGGGAAGCACUCCAGCUCCAGUGCAGGACACUCCCACAACCGCAAGUCAGUGAGAUGGGAAAGUGUGUCCAGCCCCUGUGGUAAGCUUCUCAAGUUCUUGCAAUGUCUAAUAUCGAUAUCUUGAAGUGAUUGUAGACGGUCUACACGUAUCUCCGCGAGUGACUCCACUCCCCUACACGACGAAAUUUCAAGUGCCUUGAGGGUCGCUGGUAGAAAACUAUUCUCGCUGAAUAGAAAGGCUGGUAGAGAAUCACAUCCGUAGACUUUUAGUUUUUGCAAACAAGACGUCAUGUCACCGUGAUUAUUGGCGCUGCUACUUGGUUCAUCCAUAUGAACACUUAAUCCUCUAGGUAAAGAUUGCAACAUCUCGCAAUCUCGGAUAUUUAAUGAUAUCAAUGAUGCCAACAUAUCUAUUUCGGGGAAGGACACGAGUUUUGAACAUUUCUUGAUGGUCAAGUCUUGAAGCGAGGAGAGGGUAUAAAUCUUGCUUGGCUGCUUCUCCAGAUUGAUGCAAUUCCGUGAGUCCAUAGUCUCUAGCUUGUUAGGCAACUCUAUAUCUCCUUCUCCAACUGAAAAUGAUAUCAAUUCCGGACAAUCUUCAACAACUAAGCUCUUCAGACAAGCGAGAUUCUGAAUUACAUCUCUCUCUUGCCACAAGUAUAUCAAAUUUUUACAACUUCUCAUCUCCAACUUCUCCAGCUUCACCAAAGAGCUUGUAAACCCAUAAUUUAAGCAAGUCAAUUCGACAACAUCUUGUAGGACAAGAGCAGUUAGAGAUGUGAAGUUUACCAAAUUCUUUAGCACGCCCUCAUUGCAACCUCUAAACUUUAAUUCAUUGAGGGAUGGAAGGCUAAUGAUAAAAGACGAGGCAUCCAUACGAGGACAGUAUAUGAUUUUCAACUUUUUGAGAGAGCUUAGUUGACUAGGCAAUCUUCCAAUCAACAUAGGACAAUUCCAAAUGACAAGAUGCUCAAGACAAGGGAAUAAAACUCCUACUUCUUCAUUGUCGAAGUGAUGAGACCAGUCCCCCCAUGAUGGCAUGUCCUUGAAUUCCAAAGUCAUUAAUGAUGGAAAAGGACUUUUGGUUCCAUAAAAUUCAGACCCUACUGUGCAUAUUGCAUUUAGACCUUCUAUAUACAGUUUUUUCAAAGAAGAUAGUUGUCCCAAUGAGGUUAGGGCCUUGGCCCAACAACACCUAUAUAAACGUAAAUGCACCAUCUUAUCAUAGGAGGGACUUCCUAACCAUGUUGGAAAUUCUAAGCCACCAUAGUAGGAUACUGUGAGAUUUUUAAGUUUUGGGUGAGGCCGAAGAAAGUCAAGGACUUUUGCUUCAAGCUCUUCAUUCCGAAAAUUUCCAAAAUCUUCGCACCAUUGCAUGGUCAGCCGGCAUAUUCCCUCCUUCAUGCAUAAAUUGGCAUCCGUGGCAUCUCUAGCUUCUCUAACCUUAUGCAAAUCAGAGAUGCAAAAUUCCCCUCCAAGAUUCUUUAAGUUUUUCAACUCCUUCAAUCUCAACCCUGUUUCCAUUCCCACUACAAAUUUAGAUAGAAACUCAAGACCCACCAAAUUACCUAUAUACAACGGCAUUGCUCUUAGGCUCGGAGUGUCAAUAAAGUCGAAAUUUUUUAGAUUUAUUAGUUUCUCCAUACCUUCUGGUAACUCAGUAAGAUUUCGACAUCCCCGCAACAUCAAGGCCUCUAGGUAGUACAAUGCAACAAUUGACUUUGGAAGGGUUUCAAUGUUAGUAUACGACAAAUUGAGGCACCUCAGGUGCCUCAGUUUGCCAAUGCAAUCCGGUACCUCUUUGAUGUAAUAGUGACAUAAUGAAAACACCCUCAAGUAUUUCAAUUCGGAUAACAAGUCGCCUAACACUUUCUCGGACAAAUAAGACUUACCAUAGGUAGGUUGCUUCGCCAACGAUAUGAAGCUCCUAAGUCCCUUCAUUUCAUGAUAUAUCUUGAAUCUUUUUGCCACAAUGUGACUACCGCAAAUGAAUGAGGCAUGACGAGCUAAAGAUGCAUUAUUUUGAUCACGUUCAUACUCAAACUCUCCUGAGCUAAAACAAGUUGCACUGGCAACUAGCUUUGCCAGGUCAUUCACAAGAUCAUGCAUCAAGAAUCGUGAUUCACUACUACUCGACUUUUGAAGUAACGAUCUAGAAACUAGCUCGUCGAAAAAUUUCAAACCUGCAUUCCAACAAUUCUUUCCUUCUUUUCCUUCCAACAAGCCCUCUGCAAUCCACCAGUGAAUCAACUCGCCUCAUUUAAUUUCAUAAUCCUUGGGAAAUAUAGCACAGUAAGCGAAACAUCUCCUCAAAUUUGAAGGGAGAUGGAGAUAGCUAAGUUUCAAGGCCGGAAGGAUGUCAUUACGUUCUUUCGGUAGGUCCCAAAUUUUGCUAUCCAAUAUAGCUUUCCAUUCAUGGGGACUGACUUUAAAGCUCAGUAACCCAGCCAAAGUCUUCACAGCUAAUGGCAACCCUCGACAUUUUUCCACUAUUUUCAUACCUAACCCUUCAAGAUCUGGAUGAUGAUCGAAAUUUCUGACUCCAAAGCAUGAAAUGCAAACAAAGUCAUACAAGAAUCUUGCGACAACUCUUUGAGAAUAUAGGGUUGAGCACGGGCUAUUUCAGCAACGUGAAAAUUACGAGUCGUGACAAUGACUUUGCUUCCCUUCAUUCCUGAUUGAAAAGGCUUCAAGAGGAUAGUCCAUUCUUCAUAAUUCUCAUUCCAAACAUCAUCUAGAACAACAAGAAACUUCUUCCCCGCAAGGUGUUCCUUGAGCUUACCAUGAAGCCAAUUUAGGUCCUUUCCUUCACAGAGCAAAUGGUCAUUCACUGUCUCAAGGAUCUUCUUUGUAAUAGCAAGCACGUCAAAAUCAUCGGAAACGCAAGCCCAUGCUUUCACAUCGAAAUUGUUGGUAACUCUAUCAUCAUUGUAGACUUGCUGAGCCAAAGCAGUCUUCCCAAUACCCCCCAUCCCCACGAUGGGAAUCACUUUUAGAUCUGCACAUGUCCUAUCUUCUUCUUCACCGGUCAACAAUUCAAGGAUCUUCAUUUUUUCAACCUUUCUGCUAACGAAACAAGGCUCGGGCAAACUUGUAGUGUGAAGCCGCUUAUCCACUCCUCCGUAUGUCACUCGCUUCCCGC